rnacentral:lncRNA from 1 species
AUAUCAAGUAAUAUUUCAUGGGAAAGCCUGAAGUCAUGGUGUACCAUUUGGAGUUGGUAUAUUGGUCUGUACUCUGUAGCAUACAGUGUACUGUAUCCAUACAAGCACACAAAUAUUCCUUCAAAUUACAGUUCAUACAUAGGAAGAUUCAGAACUAAAAUGACGAAAAAGACCUCCAAAGAUUUUAUUUCCGGGCAUUAAGGCUAUACUCUGAUGAAUGCAGAACUCCAUUUUUUCCCAUGUCUAAUACACUAAUAUUGUCCUCUAUCAAACAAUUAAGUAGAGUAGAAUACACAUUCAUAGUUAAACCUGGCACCACACUUCUAACAGUUCAUCGCUCCUAGCAGGACACACUGUUCCUUGCAUUUGUCAUCGACCGGGUGCACCAGUACUCCAGAAGCACAUUUACCCUGAGGAGAGCAGCCAACACCUCCAGGGAGGAGGCCGAGAAACUCCCAAUGGAGAAUUGGUCCUUCCGCGAUGAUAAGUCGGAUAGCGAGAUCAGAUGAACUGCUUUAGGAACUCAGUUGCCACCAGCCGGCCACGUGUGUUCACCGACAGCUUGAGCUCGCUGAUCUCCUUGUCAAUGUCCUACAACACGAAGAAGCAUCUGUGUGUCAAAGCAUGUCCAAGACUGGCAACACUUUAUGGGCAAUUUUUUUUAGCUCUACUGUGAAAGAAAAACAUGAUCGUGAGUCUUCUGCAUUUUGUUCUUCUUCACUUGUAAAAUGGGCAAUCCAAGACUGGCAACACUUUAUGGGCAAUCGCCAAGCUGGGCGCACAGCCGUUUCAUGAUAGAUGUACUCUAAAAUUAUUUGUAUAAGGGAUUCAUUUGUGAUUUUAGUACAAACUGCUGAGUGCUUAUUUUACAUAGAGGCACGUAAGACAAACAUUUCAGAAACUACAAACAUGUCCAAACUUACUCUUGCUGUCAGCUGUUCAUUUACUAGACCUUUACUUACCUCCAUAAACUGAACAAUGAAAUCUAUGAGCUUAUGCUUGUGCAUAUCCUCACAGUGGUAGUUUGUUAUGAGGAAGCUAAUAUCAUAACCCUGAAACAAAAGAAAACCAAGUUAGUCAGUUUCCAAUGGUGUCCUUGGAUAAUAUGCUGUACACUAACAUUCCGGCAAGUACCAAGACAAAUUUGAUCCACAUGGCUAAUAAACGUUGUGAAAACAUCAUCAAGAUGGAAAACUCGAAAGCUGGUAAAACUUCAGGCAACAUAGAGACUACUAUUUAGUUGUCCUAUUGCUGAUAUCAAGUUUUUCAAUUUGAUACUUGAAAUUUCCAGUUUCACCACUUAAUCCAAGUCUAACUGCUGAUCAAACUAAAUUCCUAAAAUGUGUAUACCUUUUAACUUUCAGAGCGGAUAGAGUAAUUAAUUAGAAAAGGCAGUUAUGUGUAAUCCCCUAGUAUCAAGUAGUCCUGCCGGCCCAACUUCAGUUGAAUAAAGUUUGUGUACUACUACGAGUAGUCGAUUACUAGAGGUACAGAAGUAAUGCAUGCACACAGUAUUGUAAUACCUGAACUGGUUUUCUCCUCAACACUUGGAAUGCCUCUGCCCUCAUCGACAAAAACCUAAGAAACUUCUUUGCAAGAAUAUUUUCCAGUUCAUCUGCCUGCUUAACCUGUCAAAUAAGAAAACAAGUAUAUGAUGGCAUACUGGAUCACAAAUGAUUGAGCCACAAUGUUUUGAAAAGAACUAUCAUAAUAUCCACCAGCUAUUAUUCACUACCUUCAAGCUUAUACGGAUAGAAUUGAUUGAAGUCUCUACCAAACACUUCUCGGCUUCAUUACGACAUAUAAGCACCUGUAAGAGGAAAUCCUUAAUUAUGGAUCACCAUUCUGAAAAAACUGUUUUUUAUUUCAAGUUCAUCUCCAGAGAAGCAUAGUCAUAAAGAGAUGGUACAGACUACAUAUGCAAGAUAUCACCAAUUGAUUCAGUAGGUUUCAGCAGUGUUAAACAAUAUGGUUUUCAUUAGACUUCUGCUUUAUCGCAUAUGCUCUGUGUCACCCAUUUCAGAGUUUUGCAAAUACUCCCUCCGUCCCGAAUUACUUGUCGCAGAAAUGGAUGUAUCUAAAACUAAAAAUGCGUCUAGAUACGUCCAUCUCUGCGACAAGUAAUUCGGGACGGAAGGAGUAGCACAUAUCAAUUUCACAUAGGGAACUUUAGUAAUACAUUCAAUAACUUUUGCUAUGCCGAGUUAUUUAAUUAUAGGCAAGUGUUCUCAACGCAAUAAAUAAUUACAGGCAAGUAUUCUAGAACACAAUAACAAUAUUCGAUCCUAUACUCUAAUAUGAUAUGCAUGUACAUAAAUCAGAAAUUCUAGCAUGUCGAGUUCACAGCCAUUUGAAUAGUACAAAAUUGAGAAAGUGUGAUUUUUCCAGUUUAGUACUAUCGUAUAGGCAUCAACGUUUAUGAGUCGACGAGUCGAUGAGUCGUUCGAAGGUUGAGACUCAUAGACUAAUCGUGACUAGUCUAGACUACUGCUGGACUAGUCGACAUGGUACUGUAGCUCACAACUUGCAGUAAUCAAUUACUAAAACCUAGUAUUAAUAUGUAAUAUAUACUAUAGAAAGUGCAUUGGAGCGUCAAUUUGUCCUGCAGAUUAGGCCAGUAAGCAUAUUUCCAUGUUGGAUCCUUGCUCCUAGUUGGCUUCUUGCAGGAUCCUUCGAUGGAUCAUAUUGCUCAUUGGCCUGAGCUGCAGCUGCUGAAUACAAUACUUGAGAUAUUUCCGGCAUACACAUUGCACUUCAGACCUAAGGAUCUUGAAACUGAAGCAAACAAAACGAAAUAAGGAAGAGGGCAGGCGGUAAAAAUCGAAUCAAAGAAGGGAAGAAGAGAAGGGAGAAUUUACUUUGCUAGUAUGCUUGCUUGCUUACUGCAACCUGAUGGACGAGCAGAUCCAGUAGCCAGAAGGCAGCAGAGGGAGACCGUAGGGCAGAUCUAGGGAGAGCAGAAGCAAUAGAGGGAAAGGGCCAGAGCAGAGGAGUGCAGAUCCAUGAAGAGCAUAAGCAAUGGAGGGAAAGGGGCAGGGUGGCUGGCUCACUUAUCCCCUCCCAAUCCCUAAAAAAUAAAAAAUAAAUGAGUCGAACGACUCAAGGUGCACGACUGAUCUAGACUAGUCUACGACUAGUCCUUCGACUCCUCGACUCGGCGAACUAGUCUACACGAGAUUUCUAGUCGACACCCAGAAUGCGACUCAUAGACUAGUCUAGCGACUAGUCCCUCGACUCGUAAUCAAUGAUAGGCAUCUUGUUUAUAUCUUGAUUUAGGCACCUAAUUGGCAUCAGUGCUGGCCUAUGUUACUUGAUCGCCUAGCAAAAGACCAGGUCUUACAAAAGGGAACAUUGGAAAUUUCAUGAUAGGACAGGAUGAAAGAUGAAAGAACAUCCACUGUCCUGUGAGGCUGAAUUUUGCUUGCCUAAGAACAACGUUAACUAAAGUACUAAGAACAAUGUAUUCAUGAUUUCCAGCAUAGUCUAAUGAAGAGUGUAUCUGUUAGAAGUUUAAAAUGACACGCAAUUACCAUAUACUUCUUGGGCAGGUGUCUGCAGAUAUAUAUUCUACUCACUUCACAAUACAGUAAAGAAAUUUUAGGUCCAAACUGAGAAUAAGUGUUGCCAUUCUGAGGAAUGAACAAUACUGGUGCAUACGAAAUAUUACAAAGAGGCAUUCGAAACAAUUUUUCCACUACCGUCUAAUCACCACAAGAUUCUGCAGUUGGGAAAAAAAUUGCUGUAAAAUCUGUAUGAGAAAAGGAGAACGCAUGGAUAAAAAUCAUUCAUAUAUAGAACGGAAUUACUCUCACAAGAUUUUCUUAGCAACAUCAAAGAAUCAAUAUCUGAAAUCUCCCUUACCGGAUUCAGCAGAAGUUCAGAGCUAGUCCUGUAAAAGGAAUUAAAAAAGAUGAUGUCAGCAAAACAUGAUUUACUCGCAUCCAUGAACUUCAGGGAGGGGAGGUGUAAACAAAAAGGGAACACGGGCACAUGUGAAUGCGAUUGCAGGGAUACAAUGGCAUAUAAACUAUCAAAGGAAGCCAGAGAUAGUGCCACUAUUGUUGUCAAGAAAACGCAGAUACUUCAAGCAACCAACGUAUCUGUAUCGGAUACCAUAUCCGAUACUGAUUCUUUGACCAUACGUCCCCAAUACCUCUCAGGCUCUAGUAGUGCCGGUGGGGGGCUCCUUUCCCGGUGCUCCCGCUCCCCUUUCCCCACUAUCCUGUAUCUGUAUCGCGCUCAUACUGGUACGCGUAACCGUAUCGGUGCAAUCUAGAUUGUUGUCUUUGAAAUUUAGAUCCUAUGAAUAAACUGGAGACAUCUCCAGUUUGUUUCUAGCACUAGGUUUUCACACACAAAUGCACAUACGAAAAAUAGAAGCGGAAGGCCGUUAUCUUUGCAGGAGAAAAAGGUUGCGUCGAUUUUCAUCUAAAAUACGCAGAAUCUUCUACUGGUCUGAACCGAAUCACUUACAGAAAGAAGCAACACAAGCUCUGAAUAAACGGUGUCCAGGUGAAAGAAUUGGCUUACUUGAGCUCCACCUCCGGCUUGUUGUGCCUCUCGACCUCUUGGCAAGGGAAAUUCUAGAGGCACAAGGAACAAGCACGCGCGACAUUAAUUUUCUCUCUGAGCAAAUCAAGAAAUUGCCGAGCGGAACGGCGAUCCUGGAGCUGGUGCGUACCUGCAGGCACAUGGCCGCCUCCAGAGUGUUGCGGAUGCAGGUGAGGUACAGCCGCAGCGUGUUGGCCUGCGGAGACACAAGAACCCAUUUGAACGGAGUCGCGGGAAGGGGAGGAUCCGGCAGCGGCGGCGGCGCGCAGGGAAUGGGAGGAUCUAGAGAGGAGGGGAGGGGAACGGACUCACCAUGGCUACGGAGGGUCGCCGCACGCGUGGAUCGGCCGAGGGGGAGAGAAGGGAUCUGGUGGAUCGGGAGCGCGGGGUGGCCGCCGGUUGCCGGAGUUCGUGGGGGAGAGAGAGGGGAAGGCGCCGGCGUCGGAGGCGACUGGCUGGUGGAGGUCUGCUUCGGUACUGUUCGUGGGGCUGGGCCGUGUCCACUAUACUAGUCCUGGCCAUGGGAAGCCCGGCCCGAAAAAGCCCAACCCAGCCUGGCCCGAUGCUGCUCCCGGGCCGGGCUCAGGCCUAGAUUUUGAGCCCGAUGGCCUGGCCGGGCUGGGCCCAGGCCCAUCGUUUUGAGCUUUUCUGAAGGGGCCCGGCCCGAGGCUCGGUGGGCUUUUACGCGUUCGGGCUGGGCUAGGCCGGGCUCGGGCCUAGGUUUUUUGCCUCGGGCUUGGUCAGGCCCGGCCUGAAGCCCGACCCGGCCCGAGGUUUAGCCAGGUAUAACUGUACAGGCUGGUGUAGCAUGUAGGCAUGCUCUUUGUAGAAGGUCACUCGGAUUAAAUAAAUAUAUAGGUCACUCCCACCUUCUCAUGUUGUAACAAGUGGCUUGUGUCCAAAUCUCGAACUAUUUUUAUUGUUGAAUUCCUCGCGUCGAGAUAUUUAAACUAGAUUUCAUGUUGAUAGGUUUUGACGAAUUUUUUAAAAAAAAAUAACGAAAAAACCAGACCAGAAGCAUGUUUUUUUUUCCUUUUUGAAAGAGGCACGACUGUGCCUCCCGUGGAAGUAAAUCCGUGCUCCCACGAGAACUAAAUUUGUGCCUCUUAUAGAAGGAAAAAAAAAAAGAAAACAUAACUUUUCGUUCCGAGAGGCACGACUAUGUCUCUCGCAGAAGCAAAUCUAUACCUCUCGCGUAAGAAAAAAAGAGAUAUCAUUCCGUUUUCAAGAGGCAUGACUGUGUCUCUCACGGUCGUUUUCCCAAGUUUCCAAGAGGCACGAUGGUGCCUUUCAUGAAAGCAAAUUCGUGUCUUUCAUGCAAGGAAGAAAACAAAUAUAUUUUUCCGUUUUCAAGAGGCACCAUUGUGCCUCUCAUGGAAGAAAAAAAAGAAAACAUGUUUAUUCAUCAAUUUUUUGGUCCAAAACUAAGAAAAACUGGGGGGAAACCGAAAAGCCGAAAGAACAAAAAAUCAUCUAAAAAGCCAAAACACAUGCGAAAAAAUAUCAAAGGUAGCACCGAGAGAGCGACACAUGACGGCGGCUGAGAGCACGCCAAAGCCCACCCAGGUGACCCUUGUGGGGCUCCCAAAGGAGUACUUCGUUAGUUGCUCGCAGGGAGAACACUACUAGAGAAAAUCCUAGUAAUAGCGCUGGUUUUUUGCCUAGUAGUAGCGCGGGUACCAGCGCUAUUGCUAUGGCGCUACAACUAAACUUUAGCAGCAGCGCUGGUCUACCCGCGCUACUACUAGUGGUACUGCUAAGUAGUAGCGGUGUUGGCUUUGACCUGGGCCACUACUAUUCAUAUGUAUUUUAUUUCUUUUAUUUUAUACUGUAUUUAUACAUAGUUAUACAAAUUUUGAUAUAGUAGCAAUUAAGGGAUUGUUACAUCAUCAUGAUCAUGUUGAGUUAUUAUAUCAUUAGUUGGAAGAAACACGGAUUAGAUCGACUAAUCCAACUAUGGGUCACAUGGAUCUAAUCCAUGUUUCUUUCACCCAAUGAUAUAAUAACUCAACAUGAUCAUAAUAACUCAUCAUUAUAUUCAUAUAAGAAGUCAUACAUCAUCAUCAUUAUAAUAACAACUCAUCAUCAUAGUGAUAUAGGAACUAGCUCAUCGUUUUAGCACAAGGUAGCACAUAACUCAUCAUCAUCAUGAUAACAACUCAUCAUCAUAGUCAUAUAAGAAUUAGCUCAUCACCAUCAUGAUGAUAACAACUCAUAAUCAUAGUCAUAUAAGAACUAGCUCAUCAUUCUAGCACAAUGUAGCACAUAACUACCUAAAGCCUGCUACUCUCUCGAAGGUAAAAUAGCAUAAAACAAGUAAACACCUGAAUCUCCAUUAUGGAGAAUACAGAUGAAACUGUCUACUAUUUGUGGGUUGCGCUUGAUGUUACCCCCAAGUAGUUCCCUACGAUCAUUCAGAACUUUUCUCCAGUCUUUGAUCAUGAGGAUGUCAUCUCUGUUACGAAUUGUGUAUGAACUAAAGUGACACGUAGGCCACCUUGGACGUAAGCUAAUAAUGUUCAUUUGACCUUUCAUUUCCAUAAGAUGAGGCACACAAUCCGCCGGGAGGUUCUGUUGAAGAACAUCAUAAUAACAUACUUAAAAAAAUGUAGUUUAGCUUCAGAAGAACGUAUGCUAAAGAUGCACUGGUGAUAUAGUAGGAAAAAUCUUACCAUGAUAUCUCGAUGGAUGUUACCGUAGUUCAACACGUGCACUAGUGGCAUGUAUUGAUCAUAACUUGGAGAAAUAUUACGACUUGUCUUAAAAUACUCAACAUCUUUAAUCCAUGAAACAAAAUGAUUUAUCUCCUCGCAAGUUAGCUUAGACCCAUAAGUGUAGUAGGUUUUGUCUAUCAGUUUUCGUGCAUUUCUUGAAUGUUGGAAAUAAGCUGUCAAUGAAAAUAAGUUGUCAACUAUUUUUAAAUAAACAAUAUAAAUUACUUAAUAAAUAUGUUUGAGAAACUCACAAAGAGGUAGAAGUGGAAGCGUAUCAACAUCGACCCAAUUAUCGAUAUUAUCUUCGUCGAUGUCAUCUUCAAGAUCACCAAGAUCGAAGGUGACAUGCAUACCCUCCUGAAAACCAUGCGCCUUGCAUAGUGCUUCCCAAUUCGAGUAACCAAAAUGGGAGUAGGUCUCCGCAAUGUAUAGCUUUAUGGCAAAAGCAUAACCAUGAUGGGUCCUGAGGUGAACCCUCUUUGUCUCUAUAUUCUCAUGAUCUUCGAAAUCCAGCUUCUCCAAGACAUAACAUCUUGCAUGGCAGGGGAUGCACUAGUCGAAUUGUAAAAAGAGGAAUUACAAAUUGAAGAAGCAGAAGGCAUGCUUAAUUACGAAAAAAGACCCGUUGUCAUUGCGUACCGUACAAACAUCAAAGGUCUCGUCGAGCUUAAUAGUGAAGCGCCGACCGUCUUCCAGGUGAGGCCUGUCGCACAGACUCCAGUCGUCGCCGCAGUAGUCACACUCAGGGAUCCUAUCGUCCUCAAACAUUUCUUAUGUUCAUAAUUCAAAGAUUAAACUUCUGAAAUUCAAUAUAUGUACUACAAAAACUAAAUUAGAUCAUUAUUAUUCAUCAAGGGUUGACUUUCGGUCUAUCGAGUCUUCCUUGAAAGCACUCAUCUCACGUGGUGUAUAUGGUAGGCACUCCCUCUCUGAUAUAUUCGACCGUCGGUGAUGGUCGCUCCUCCCUUCGUCCCCGAGUGCAUUACACCAAAUUGUCUAGCACACGAGAACGAAGGAGAAGCGACCCCCACAAUAACAGUCGGAAUUCUUCCUCUCUUACAUUGCGACCGUCGGUGAUGGAAGUUCCUACUUUCAUUUGAAAGUGCAUUACACCAAAAUUUCUAGCACCUUCAAAUGAAGAAGAAGCUCCCCUCACGACAACAGUCGGAUUCUUCUUCUCUCAUAUAUGGUGGACACUCUCCGUCAUUGAUUUUUGACUGUCGGUGAUGGUCGCUCUUCUCUUCCUUCCCGUGCAUUACCAAAAGGUCUAUCACGAGAAAGAAGAGGAAGAGUGACCCCCAUGACAACAGUCGGCAUUCCUCAUCUCUUCAUAUAUGGUGGACACUCUCCCUCACUGUUUUUUUACUGUCAUGCAUGGAACCCCGACGGACUUAAAGUCAACCCAAAAUGUCGUUUAAUUCUCUUUCCGGCAAAUCCAAGGCACUCGAUAUUUCCUACAUUCUAGCACAAGCCAUGCUAAUAUUCACGGAAAAAUCCAGCACGACCUUUGCUAAAAAGGAUAUAUCGAGUGCCCGAAAUUUGCCGGACCAAAAAUUAAUCAACACUCCGCAAAACAUAGGCCACUCGGAGGUGUUCCCUCCAAACAUAGGCCACUUGGGCAAGCACAUAUACUUUAUUUUCCAAAUAUUCUUGUGUGACAACACUACUAGUACACACCACAACAUAUCACAUGUCUAUAUCUCCAUCAUAUUUGAGAAACACUAGUACACAACACUAGAUAUACAUGUUUACUCACUAUAGACGAUGGGUGUCGAGGAUGCGGGUGUCGUCGGUGAUCUUCUGGGCGUCAUCGACCGGCUCGUCGGUGAUAUACCCUGCGCCACACACGAGCAUUUAUAUAGAAAAAUUCAAACUUGGUAUGCUCAUUGCAUUUCAGUGGUUUAGUUUUGACAACAAGCAUAACAUUUCAUUUUUUGCGAAACCAUUUCAUUUCAUUAGGUCUCUCUUUCUCUCUCUCUCUCUCCCUCUCUCUCAAAAUUCACUAGGCAUCAACUACAUCCAAACCUAUGAACAAAAUUAGUAAACUUUUGAAAUUUCUAUACCUAAAUUAGUACUAAAUGUUUUUAUGACGAAACUACUAACAUUUUCUAUAACAACACUAUGCCUCAACAUUCAUAGUACUUUCUAUAACGAAACUACUUAAAUUUCCUAUAACAACAUAAUACCUAAAACAUUGUCUAACAUUUCUAUAGCAUAGAGGAGAGGUGGAAGGAGGGAGGAGUGAGGAGGAGGAGGGAGGAGAGAGAGGAGGAGGAAGGAGGAGGGAGGCUGGAGGAGAGGGAGGAGGGCACGACCGGAGGAGGAGGGAGGAGGGCGGUGGGAGGAGGAGGGAGUAGGGUCGCCGCAUAUAUACCGAGGAAGGAGGAGGGAUGACGAUGGCAAUGCGGUGGCUACGGUGGGAGGGAGGCAGAGUGAGGCAAUGAGGAGUGAGGGGACGGAGAAGGUCGGGCACGGGGAGUUGGAUAAGGUGGCAUUAGCAGUAGCGCUGGUCCAGGGAGCGCGCUACUGCUAAGCCCAAUAGUAGUCGCGCGGGUCAGCUGCCAGCGCUGCUGCUAAGUGGGGUCUACCUUCUGGCACAGUGCACACACAUAGCAGUAGUAGUGGGUCGUAGGCACGCACUACUACUAUAAUUUUAGCAUUAGUAUGGGAUUUGCACGCCGCGGUGUACUACGGGUAGCCCCGGUAGGGUGGCGUUGGGACCACUUAGCAGUAGCGCUGCCUGGUUGUCCCGCGCUACUUCUACACUACUAGUUGUAUGAUACUCUCCAACGUAUCUAUAAUUUUUGAUUGUUCCAUGCUAUUAUAUUAUCUACUUUGGAUGUUUUAUAUGCAUUUUAUGCUAUUUUAUAUUAUUUUUGGGACUAACUUAUUAACCCAGAGCCUAGUGCCGGUUUCUGUUUUUUCCUCGUUUUUGAGUUUUACAGAAAAGGAAUAUCAAAUGGAAUAAAACUUUACGAUAAUUUUUCUUGGACCAGAAGACACACGUAGGACUUGGAGACGAAGGCAGAAGAGUCCCGAGGGCUCCACAAGCCCUUAGGAUGCGCCCUAGGGGGGGCGCCCUGGCUUGUGGGCCCCACGGGACUCCUCUAGCCCUAAUCUUUGGCCUAUAAAUUCUCAAAUAUUCCCAAACGACCAGAAGCGUCAACCAAAAUACUUUUCCGCUGCCGUAACCUUAUGUACCCGUGAGAUCCCAUCUUGGGGCCUUUUCCGGCACCCUGUUGGAGGGGGAUUCUAUCAUGGAGGGCUUCUACAUCAACUCUAUUGCCCUUCUGAUGAAGCGUGAGUAGUUUACCAAAGACUUACGAGUCCAUAGCUAGUAGCUAGAUGGCUUCUUCUGUCUCGUUGAUCCUCAAUACCAUGUUCUCCUCGAUGUUAUUGGAGAUCUAUCCGAUGUAAUCUUCUUUUGCGGUGUGUUUGUCGAGAUCCGAUGAAUUGUGGAUUUAUGACCAGUUUAUCUAUGAAUAUUAUUUGAAUCUUCUUUGAAUUCUUAUAUGCAUGAUUUGAUAUCUUUGUAUUUCUUCGAAUUAUUUGUUUGGUUUGGCCAGCUAGAUUGGUUUUUCUUGCAAUGGGAGAGGUGCUUAGUUUUGGGUUCAAUCUUGCGGUGUCCUCACCCAGUGACAAAGUAGGGGUAGCGAGGCAUGCAUUUGUAUUGUUGCCAUCAAGGGUAAAAAUAUGGGGUUUUCAUCAUAUUCCUUGAGUUUAUCCCUCUACAUCAUGUCAUCUUACUUAAGGCGUUACUCCAUUCUUAUGAACUUAAUACUCUAGAUGCAUGCUGGAUAGCGGUCGAUGUGUGGAGUAAUAGUAGUAGAUGCAGGCGAUAACGCACAAGUAUAGGGGAUCAGUUGUAGCCUCUUUUGAUAAGUAAGAGUGUCGAACCCAACGAGGAGCUAAAGGUAGAACAAAUAUUCCCUCGAGUUCUAUCGACCACCGAUACAACUCUACGGAUGCUUAGCAUUCGCUUUACCUAGAACAAGUAUGAAACUAGAAGUGCUUUGUAGGUGUUGUACGAUAAGUUUGCAAGAUAAUAAAGAACACGUGAAUAAAAACUAGGGGCUGUUUCGAUAAAUAAACAAUUAAGUUAGUAUAGAGAGUGUGGAAAAGUGAUGGUAGGAGUUGCGCAAUUGUUCCUAAGUAAUUGACUGCGUAACUAGACCGAUAGCAAGUUUUAUGUGGGAGAGGCCACUGCUAGCAUGUCAUCCCUUACUUGGAAUUCUAUGCACUUAUGAUUGGAACUGUUAGCAAGCAUCCGCAACUACUAACAUUCAUUAAGGUAAAACCUGACCAUAGCAUUAAGAUGUAUUGGUCCCCCUUCAAUCCCGUAUGCAUCAAUUUCUAUGCUAGGCUGAAGCUGCUAUCACCCUUGCCCUCCAAUACAUAGUCCUAUCAACAUACAACUAACCCUAUGGUGUGAUCCACACGCGCGCUCAUAUGAUGGGCACCAUAGGACAACAACAUAACCACAAGCAAAUUAAACCAAUCAUAGCAAUUCACCAAUCACCGAUAGGACAACAAAAAUCUACUCAAGCAUCAUAGGAUGGCAACACAUCAUUGGAUAAUAAUAUGAAGCAUAAAGCACCAUGUUCAAGUAGAGGGUACAACGGGUUGCAGGAGAGUGGACCGCUGAAUAUAGAUGGGGGAAGGUAAUGAAGAUGCUGGGGAAGAUGACGGAGGUGUUUGUGUAGAUCGCCGUCACACGAUGAUUGCCCCCGCGGCGUUCCGGUGCCACCGAGAGAGGGGGAGAGAGCCCCCUCCUUCUUCUUCCUUGACCUACCCCCUAUAUGGGAGGACGGUUUCCUCUCUGUCCCUUGGCCUCCAUGGCGGCGGAGGGGCGGGAGCCCCUCCGAGAUUGGAUCUCUCUCUCUCUCUCUCUCUCUCUCUCUCUCUCUCUCUCUCUCUCUCUCUGUUUCCUUCCGUUUCUGCGUUUCCAGAUUCUGGCCUUUCACCGUUUCUUAAAUUCUCGGAGAUUCGUAACUCCGAUUGGGCUGAAAUUUUAACACGAUUUUUAUCUGGAUAUUAUCUUUCUUGCAGCGAAAGAAGGGCACUAACUGCCUUAUAGGGCCCCCACAAGCCUCCCAGGCGCGCCCAGGGUAGGGGGCGCACCCCUAGGGCUUGUGGGCCCCUCGGGCAUCGCCUCGCUUUGAUUCUUUUUUCCCAAAAAUCACAUAUAUUCCAAAACAAAAUCUUCGUAAGGUUUUAUCGCGUUUGGACUCCGUUUGAUAUGGGUAUUCUGCGAAACAAAAAACAUGCAACAAACUUGAACUGGCACUGGAUCAAUAUGUUAGUCCCAAAAAUAAUAUAAAAAGUUGCCAAAAGCAUAUGAAAGUUGUAGAAUAUUGGCAUGAAACAAUCAAUAAUUAUAGAUAUGCGGAGAUGUAUCAGCAUCCCCAAGCUUAAUUCCUGCUCGUCCUCGAGUAGGUAAAUGAUAAAAAAGAUAAUUUUUGAUGUGGAAUGCCACCCAGCAUAAUCUUGAUCAUAUAAUCUAAUCAUGGCAUGAAUAUUGAGACAUGAGUGAUUCAAAGCAAUAGUCUAUCAUUUGACAUUAAGACAAUUAUACUUCAAGCAUUCUAAUAAAGCAAUCAUGUCUUCUCAAAAUAACAUGGCCAAAGAAAGUUAUCCCUACAAAAUCAUAUAUUCUGGCUGUGCCCCAUCUUCAUCAUACAAAGUAUUUCAUCAUGCACAACCCCAAUGACAAGCCAAGCAAUUGUUUCAUACUUUUAAUGGUCUCAAGCCCUUUCAACUUUCACACAAUGCAGGAGCGCGAGCCAUGGAUAUAGCACUAUAGGUGGAAUAGAAUAUGAUGGUGGAGGUUGUGUGGAGAAAAAAAGGAGAAAUUCUCACAUCGAUGCGGCUAAUCAAUGGGUUAUGGAGAUGCCCAUCAAUUGAUGUCAAUGCGAGGAGUAGGGAUUCCCAUGCAACGGAUGCACUAAGAGCUAUAAGUGUAUGAAAGCUCAAACUGAAAACUAAGUGGGUGUGCAUCCAACUUGCUUGCUCUUGAAGACCUCGGGCAUUUGAGGAAGCCCAUCAUCGGAAUAUACAAGCCAAGUUCUAUAAUGAAAAUUCCCACUAGUAUAUGAAAGUGAUAACUCAAGGGACUCUCUAUAUGAAGAACAUGGUGAUACUCUGAAGCACAAGUGUGGUAAAAGGAUAGUAGCAUUGCCCCUUCUCUCAUUUUCUCUCAUUUUUUUAUUUUCUUUUUUGGGCUCUCUCUUUUUUUGGCCUUUUUUAUUUUUAUUUUUUGUCCGGAGUCUCAUCCCAACUGGUGGGGGAAUCAUAGUCUCCAUCAUCCUUUCCUCAAUGGGACAAUGCUCUAAUAAUGAUGAUCAUCACACUUUUAUUUACUUACAACUCAAUAUUACAACUCGAUAUUUAGAACAAAGUAUGACUCUAUAUGAAUGCCUCUGGCAGUGUACCAGGAUGUGCAAUGAUCUAGCAUAGAAAAGAUAUCAAAAAACGGACAAGCCAUGAAAAUAUCAUGCUAGCUAUCUUACGAUCAUGCAAAGCAAUAUGACAAUGAAUGCUCAAGUCAUGUAUAUGAUGAUGAUGGAAGUUGCAUGGCAAUAUAUCUCGGAAUGGCUAUGGAAAUGCCAUGAUAGGUAGGUAUGGUGGCUGUUUUGAGGAAGAUAUAAGUAGGCUUAUGUGUGAUAGAGUGUAUCACAUCACGGGGUUUGGAUGCACCGGCGAAGUUUGCACCGACUCUCGAGGUGAGAAAGGGAAAUGCACGAUACCGAAGAGGCUAGCAAUGAUGGAAGGGUGAGAGUGCGUAUAAUCCAUGGACUCAACAUUAGUCAUAAAGAACUCACAUACUUAUUGCAAAAGUUUAUUAGCCAUCGGAACAAAGUACUAAUACACAUGCUCCUAGGGUGAUAGAUUGGUAGGAAAAGACCAUCGCUCAUCCCCGACCACCACUCAUAAGGAAGACAAUCAAAAAAUAAAUCAUGCUCCGAUUUCAUCACAUAAUGGUUCACCAUACGUGCUUGCUUCGGGAAUCACAAACCUUAACACAAGUAUUUCUACCAAUCCACAAUUACUCACUAGCAUGACUCUAAUAUCACCAUCUUUAUAUUGCAAAACUAUUGCAAGGAAUCAAACAUAUCAUAUUCAGUGAUCUACAAGUUUUUAUGUAGGAUUUUAUGACUAACCAUGUGAAUGACCAAUUCCUGUUAACUCUCUAAAUAUAUAUAAGUGAAGCAAGAGAGUUUAAUUCUUUCUAAAAAAGAUAUGCCCAUGCUCUAACAAAUAUAAGUGAAGCAAAAGAGCAUUCUACAAAUGGCAGUUUUCUGUGUGUAGAGAAACAGGCAAUCCAAACUUCAAAUGAUAUAAGUGAAGCACACGAAGCAUUCUAUAAAGCCAUACUCAAAAGAUAUAAGUGAAGUGAAAGGAGCAUUCCAUAAAUCAAUCAAGGACUAUCUCAUACCAGCAUGGUGCAUUAUUAAAAGAAAAAUAAAAAGCACACGACGCUCCAAGAUUUACGCAUAUCAUGUGACGAAUAAACAUAUAGCUCCAAGUAAAAUUACCGAUGAUCGUUAGAAGAAAGUGUUGGAAAUAUGCCCUAGAGGCAAUAAUAAAUGGUUAUUAUUAUAUUUCUGUGUUCAUGAUAAUAGUCUAUUAUUCAUGCUAUAAUUGUAUUGUCCGGAAAUCGUAAUACAUGUGUGAAUACAUAGACCACAACCUGUCCCUAGUAAGCCUCUAGUUGACUAGCUCGUUGAUCAACAGAUAGUCAUGGUUUCCUGACUAUGGACAUAGGAUGUCAUUGAUAACGGGAUCACAUCAUUAGGAGAAUGAUGUGAUGGACAAGACCCAACUUAAGCAUAGCAUAAAAGAUCGUGUAGUUUCGUUUGCUAGAGCUUUUCCAAUGUCAAGUAUCUUUUCCUUAGACCAUGAGAUCGUGCAACUCCCGGAUACCGUAGGAGUGCUUUGGGUGUGCCAAACGUCACAACGUAACUGGGUGACUAUAAAGGUGCAUUACGGGUAUCUCCGAAAGUGUCUGUUGGGUUGGCACGGAUCGAGACUGGGAUUUGUCACUCCGUGUGACGGAGAGGUAUCUCUGGGCCCACUCGGUAAUGCAUCAUCAUAAUGAGCUCAAUGUGACUAAGGCGUUAGUCACGGGAUCAUGCAUUGCGGUACGAGUAAAGAGACUUGCCGAUAACGAGAUUGAACUAGGUAUUGGGAUACCGACGAUCGAAUCUCGGGCAAGUAACAUACCGAUUGACAAAGGGAAUUGCAUACGGAUUGAUUGAAUCCUCGACACCGUGGUUCACCCGAUGAUAUCAUCGUGGAACAUGUGGGAGCCAACAUGGGUAUCCAGAUCCCGCUGUUGGUUAUUGACCGGAGAGGCGUCUCGGUCAUGUCUGCAUGUCUCCCGAACCCGUAGGGUCUACACACUUAAGGUCCGGUGACGCUAGGGUUGUAGAGAUAUAUGUAUGCGGAAACCCGAAAGUUGUUCGGAGUCCCGGAUGAGAUCCCGGACAUCACGAGAGGUUCCGGAAUGGUCCGGAGGUGAAGAAUUAUAUAUAGGAAGUCCAGUUUUGGCCACCGGGAAAGUUUCGGGGGUUAUCGGUAUUGUACCGGGACCACCGGAAGGGUCCCGGGGGUCCACCGGGUGGGGCCACCUGUCCCGGAGGGCCCCGUGGGCUGAAAGUGGAGGGGAACCAGCCCCUAAUGGGCUGGGGCGCCACUUUGGGCCUCCCCCCAUGCGCCUAGGGUUGGGAACCCUAGGGGGGGGGGGAGUUCCCCCUUGCCUUGGGGGGCAAGGCAACCCCUUCCCCCCUUUGGCCGCCGCCCCCCCAACCCUAGAUGGGUUUUGGCCGGCUCCCCCCUCCCAAGGGGUCCUAUAAAUAGUGGGGGAAGGGAGGGCAGCAAACACACAGCUUUUGGCGCCUCCCUCCUCCCCUGCAACACCUCUCUCUCGCGCGCAGAAGCUCGGCGAAGCCCUGCCAGAGAGCCGCUACAUCCACCACCACGCCGUCGUGCUGUUGGAUCUCCAUCAACCUCUCCUCCCCCCUUGCUGGAUCAAGAAAGGAGGAGACGUCGCUGCACCGUACGUGUGUUGAACGCGGAGGUGCCGUCCGUUCGGCACUCGGUCAUCGGUGAUUUGGAUCACGGCGAGUACGACUCCGUCAUCCACGUUCAUUGGAACGCUUCCGCUCGCGAUCUACAAGGGUAUGUAGAUCCACUCCUUUCCCCUCGUUGCUAGUAGACUCCAUAGAUGCAUCUUGGUGAGCGUAGGAAAAUUUUAAAUUAUGCUACGAUUCCCAACAGUGGCAUCAUGAGCCAGGCCUAUGCGUAGUUACUAUGCACGAGUAGAACACAAAGAAGUUGUGGGCGUUGAUGUUGCCAAUUCUUCUUGCCGCUACUAGUCGUUUCUUGUUUCGGCGGCAUUGUAGGAUGAAGCGGCCCGGACCGACCUUACACGUACGCUUACGUGAGACAGGUUCCACCGACUGACAUGCACUAGUUGCAUAAGGUGGCUAGCGUGUGUCUGUCUCUCCUACUUUAGUCGGAACGGAUUCGAUGAAAAGGGUCCUUAUGAAGGGUAAAUAGAAAUUGGCAAAUCACGUUGUGGUCAUACGUAGGUAAGAAAUCGUUCUUGCUAGAAACCUACAAACCACGUAAAAAAACUUGCAACAACAAUUAGAGGACGUCUAACUUGUUUUUGCAGCAAGUGAUAUAUGUGAUAUGAUAUGGCCAGAAGAUGUGAUGAAUGAUAUAUGUGAUGUAUGAGAUUGAUCAUAUUCUUGUAAUAGGAAUCACGACUUGCAUGUCGAUGAGUAUGACAACCGGCAGGAGCCAUAGGAGUUGUCUUUAUUAUUUUGCAUGACCUGCGUGUCAUUUGAAUAACGCCAUGUAAUUUACUUUACUUUGUUGCUAAACGGUUAGCCAUAGAAGUAGAAGUAAUCGUUGGCGUGACAACUUCAUGAAGACACAAUGAUGGAGAUCAUGAUGAUGGAGAUCAUGGUGUCAUGCCGGUGACGAAGAUGAUCAUGGUGCCCCGAAGAUGGAGAUCAAAGGAGCAUGAUGAUAUUGGCCAUAUCAUGUCACUAUUCGAUUGCAUGUGAUGUUUAUCGUGUUUUUGCAUCUUAUUUGCUUAGAACGACGGUAGCAAGUAGGAUGAUCCCUUAUAAUAAUUUCAAGAAAGUGUUCACCCUAACUGUGCACCGUUGCGAAGGUUCGUCGUUUCGAAGCACCACGUGAUGAUCGGGUGUGAUAGAUUCUUACGUUCGCAUACAACGGGUGUUGACGAGCCUAGCAUGUACAGACAUGGCCUCGGAACACACGCAAUACACUUAGGUUGACUUGACGAGCCUAGCAUGUACAGACAUGGCCUCGGAACACGGAGGACCGAAAGGUCGAGCAUGAGUCGUAUAGAAGAUACGAUCAACAUGGAGAUGUUCACCGAUCUUGACUAGUCCGUCUCACGUGAUGAUCGGACACGGCCUAGUUGAGUUCGGAUCGUGUUUCACUUAGAUGACUAGAGGGAUGUCUAUCUGAGUGGGAGUUCAUUAAAUAAUUUGAUUAUAUGAACUUAAUUAUCAUGAACUUAGUCUAAAUCUUUACACUAUAUAUUGUAGAUCAAAUGGCCCACGUUGUCCUCAAUUUCAACGCGUUCCUAGAGAAAACCAAGCUGAAAGAUGAUGGCAGCAACUAUACGGACUGGGUCCGGAACCUGAGGAUCAUCCUCAUAGCAGCCAAGAAAGAUUAUGUCUUAGAAGCACCGCUAGGUGAAGCACCAAUCCCUGAGAACCAAGACGUUAUGAACGCUUGGCAGCAGCGUGCUGAUGAUUACUCCCUCGUUCAGUGCGGCAUGCUUUACAGCUUAGAACCGGGUCUCCAAAAGCGUUUUGAGAAACAUGGAGCAUAUGAGAUGUUCGAGGAGCUGAAACUGGUUUUUCAAGCUCAUGCCCGGGUCGAGAGAUAUGAUGUCUCCGACAAGUUCUUCAGCUGUAAAAUGGAGGAGAACAGUUCUGUUAGUGAGCACAUACUCAGAAUGUCUGGGUUGCACAACCGCUUGUCUCAGCUGGGAGUUAAUCUCCCGGAUGACGCGGUUAUUGACAGAAUCCUCCAGUCGCUUCCACCAAGCUACAAGAGCUUUGUGAUGAACUACAAUAUGCAGGGGAUGGAAAAAGACCAUUCCCGAGGUAUAUUCAAUGCUGAAAUCAGCUGAGGUAGAGAUCAGAAAAGAACAUCAAGUGUUGAUGGUGAAUAAAACCACUAAGUUCAAGAAGGGCAAGGGUAAGAAGAACUUCAAGAAGGACGGCAAGGGAGUUGCCGCGCCCGGUAAGCCAGUUACCGGGAAGAAGUCAAAGAAUGGACCUAAGCCCGAGACUGAGUGCUUUUAUUGCAAGGGAAGUGGUCACUGGAAGCGGAACUGCCCCAAAUAUUUAGCGGACAAGAAGAAGGCCGGCAACACCCAAGGUAUAUGUGAUAUACAAGUAAUUGAUGUGUACCUUACCAGUACUCGUAGUAGCUCCUGGGUAUUUGAUACCGGUGCGGUUGCUCAUAUUUGUAACUCAAAUCAGGAACUACGGAAUAAACGGAGACUGGCAAAAGACGAGGUGACGAUGCGCGUCGGGAAUGGUUCCAAGGUCGAUGUGAUCGCCGUCGGCACGCUACCUCUACAUCUACCCACGGGAUUAGUUAUAAACCUCAAUAAUUGUUAUUUAGUGCCAGCUUUGAGCAUGAACAUUGUAUCUGGAUCUCGUUUAAUUCGAGAUGGCUACUCAUUUAAAUCUGAGAAUAAUGGUUGUUCUAUUUAUUUGAGAGAUAUGUUUUAUGGUCAUGCCCCGCUGGUCAAUGGUUUAUUCCUGAUGAAUCUCGAACGUGAUGCUACACAUGUUCAUAGUGUGAAUACCAAAAGAUGUAAAGUUGAUAACGAUAGUCCCACAUACUUGUGGCACUGCCGCCUUGGUCACAUUGGUGUCAAGCGCAUGAAGAAGCUCCAUGCAGAUGGACUUUUGGAGUCUCUUGAUUACGAAUCAUUUGACACGUGCGAACCAUGCCUCAUGGGUAAGAUGACCAAGACUCCGUUCUCCGGAACAAUGGAGCGAGCAACCAACUUAUUGGAAAUCAUACAUACCGAUGUGUGCGGUCCAAUGAGUGUUGAGGCUCGCAGAGGAUAUCGUUAUGUUCUCACUCUCACUGAUGAUUUAAGUAGAUAUGGGUAUGUCUACCUAAUGAAACACAAGUCUGAAACCUUUGAAAAGUUCAAGGAAUUUCAGAGUGAAGUCGAGAAUCAACGUGACAGGAAAAUAAAAUUCUUACGAUCAGAUCGUGGUGGAGAAUAUUUAAGUCACGAAUUUGGUACACACUUAAGGAAAUGUGGAAUAGUUUCACAACUCACGCCGCCUGGAACACCUCAGAGAAAUGGUGUGUCCGAACAUCGUAAUCGCACUCUAUUGGAUAUGGUGCGAUCUAUGAUGUCUCUUACCGAUUUACCGCUCUCAUUUUGGGGUUAUGCUUUAGAGACUGCCGCAUUCACUUUAAAUAGGGCACCGUCUAAAUCCGUUGAGACGACACCGUAUGAAUUAUGGUUUGGGAAGAAACCUAAGCUGUCGUUUCUAAAAGUUUGGGGAUGCGAUGCUUAUGUCAAGAAACUUCAACCUGAAAAGCUCAAACCCAAAUCGGAAAAAUGCGUCUUCAUAGGAUACCCUAAGGAAACUAUUGGGUAUACCUUCUACCUCAGAUCCGAAGGCAAGAUCUUCGUUGCCAAGAACGGGUCCUUUCUAGAGAAGGAGUUUCUCUCGAAAGAAUUGAGUGGGAGGAAAGUGGAACUUGAUGAGGUGAUAGUCACCCCUUCCGAGUCGGAAAAUAGCGCAGCGCGGGAAAAUGUUCCUGUGGUGCCUACACCGACGGGGGAGGAAGUUAAUGAUGAUGAUCAUGAAGCUUCGGAUCAAGUUGCCACUGAACUUCGUAGGUCCACAAGGACACGUUCCGCACCAGAGUGGUACGGCAACCCUGUCCUGGAAAUCAUGUUGUUAGACAACGGUGAACCUUCGAACUAUGAAGAAGCGAUGGCGGGCCCGGAUUCCGACAAAUGGCUAGAAGCCAUGAAAUCCGAGAUAGAAUCCAUGUAUGAAAACAAAGUAUGGACUUUGACUGACUUGCCCGAUGAGCGGCGAGCCAUAGAAAACAAAUGGAUCUUUAAGAAGAAGACGGACGCAGAUGGUAAUGUGACCAUCUACAAAGCUCGACUUGUCGCUAAGGGUUAUCGACAAGUUCAAGGGGUUGACUACGAUGAGACUUUCUCACCCGUGGCGAAGCUGAAGUCCGUCCGAAUCAUGUUAGCAAUUGCCGCAUACUAUGAUUAUGAGAUAUGGCAGAUGGACGUCAAAACGGCAUUCCUUAACGGCUUCCUUAAGGAAGAGUUGUAUAUGAUGCAGCCGGAAGGUUUUGUCGAUCCUAAGAAUGCUAACAAAGUAUGCAAGCUCCAGCGCUCAAUCUAUGGGCUGGUGCAAGCAUCUCGGAGUUGGAACAUUCGCUUUGAUGAGAUGAUCAAAGCGUUUGGGUUUACACAGACUUAUGGAGAAGCCUGUGUUUACAAGAAAGUGAGUGGGAGCUCUGUAGCAUUUCUCAUAUUAUAUGUGGAUGACAUAUUAUUGAUGGGAAAUGAUAUAGAAUUCUUGGAAAGUAUAAAGGCCUAUUUGAAUAAGUGUUUUUCAAUGAAGGACCUUGGAGAAGCUGCUUACAUAUUAGGCAUCAAGAUCUAUAGACAUAGAUCAAGACGCCUCAUUGGUCUUUCACAGAGUACAUACCUUGACAAGAUAUUGAAGAAGUUCAGUAUGGAUCAGUCCAAGAAGGGGUUCUUGCCUGUAUUGCAAGGUGUGCAAUUGAGCACGGCUCAAUGCCCGACCACGGCAGAAGAUAUAGAAGAGAUGAGUGUCAUCCCCUAUGCCUCGGCCAUAGGGUCUAUUAUGUAUGCCAUGCUGUGUACCAGACCUGAUGUAAACCUUGCCGUAAGUUUGGUAGGAAGGUACCAAAGUAAUCCCGGCAAGGAACACUGGACAGCGGUCAAGAAUAUCCUGAAGUACCUGAAGAGGACUAAGGAUAUGUUUCUCGUUUAUGGAGGUGACGAAGAGCUCGUCGUAAAGGGUUACGUCGACGCUAGCUUCGACACAGAUCCGGAUGACUCGAAGUCACAGACCGGAUACGUGUAUAUUUUGAAUAGAGGAGCAAUAAGCUGGUGCAGUUGCAAGCAAAGCGUCGUGGCGGGAUCUACAUGUGAAGCGGAAUACAUGGCAGCCUCGGAGGCAGCACAGGAAGCAGUCUGGAUGAAGGAGUUCAUUACCGACCUAGGGGUGAUUCCCAAUGCGUCGGGCCCUAUGACUCUCUUCUGUGACAACACUGGAGCUAUUGCCCUUGCGAAGGAGCCCAGGUUUCACAGGAAGACCAGGCAUAUCAAGCGUCGCUUCAACUCCAUUCGUGAAAGUGUUCAAAAUGGAGACAUAGAUAUUUGUAAAGUACACACGGACCUGAAUGUAGCAGAUCCGUUGACUAAACCUCUCCCUAGGGCAAAACAUGAUCAACACCAGGACGCAAUGGGUGUUCGAUUCAUCACAAUGUAACUAGAUUAUUGACUCUAGUGCAAGUGGGAGACUGUUGGAGAUAUGCCCUAGAGGCAAUAAUAAAUGGUUAUUAUUAUAUUUCUGUGUUCAUGAUAAUAGUCUAUUAUUCAUGCUAUAAGUGUAUUGUCCGGAAAUCGUAAUACAUGUGUGAAUACAUAGACCACAACCUGUCCCUAGUAAGCCUCUAGUUGACUAGCUCGUUGAUCAACAGAUAGUCAUGGUUUCCUGACUAUGGACAUUGGAUGUCAUUGAUAACGGGAUCACAUCAUUGGGAGAAUGAUGUGAUGGACAAGACCCAAUCCUAAGCAUAGCAUAAAAGAUCGUGUAGUUUCGUUUGCUAGAGCUUUUCCAAUGUCAAGUAUCUUUUCCUUAGACCAUGAGAUCGUGCAACUCCCGGAUACCGUAGGAGUGCUUUGGGUGUGCCAAACGUCACAACGUAACUGGGUGACUAUAAAGGUGCAUUACGGGUAUCUCCGAAAGUGUCUGUUGGGUUGGCACGGAUCGAGACUGGGAUUUGUCACUCCGUGUAAACGGAGAGGUAUCUCUGGGCCCACUCGGUAAUGCAUCAUCAUAAUGAGCUCAAUGUGACUAAGGCGUUAGUCACGGGAUCAUGCAUUGCGGUACGAGUAAAGAGACUUGCCAGUAACGAGAUUGAACAAGGUAUUGGGAUACCGACGAUCGAAUCUCGGGCAAGUAACAUACCGAUUGACAAAGGGAAUUGCAUACGGAUUGAUUGAAUCCUCGACACCGUGGUUCAUCCGAUGAUAUCAUCGUGGAACAUGUGGGAGCCAACAUGGGUAUCCAGAUCCCGCUGUUGGUUAUUGACCGGAGAGGCGUCUCGGUCAUGUCUGCAUGUCUCCCGAACCCGUAGGGUCUACACACUUAAGGUCCGGUGACGCUAGGGUUGUAGAGAUAUAUGUAUGCGGAAACCCGAAAGUUGUUCGGAGUCCCGGAUGAGAUCCCGGACAUCACGAGAGGUUCCGGAAUGGUCCGGAGGUGAAGAAUUAUAUAUAGGAAGUCCAGUUUUGGCCACCGGGAAAGUUUCGGGGGUUAUCGGUAUUGUACCGGGACCACCGGAAGGGUCCCGGGGGUCCACCGGGUGGGGCCACCUGUCCCGGAGGGCCCCGUGGGCUGAAAGUGGAGGGGAACCAGCCCCUAAUGGGCUGGGGCGCCACUUUGGGCCUCCCCCCAUGCGCCUAGGGUUGGGAACCCUAGGGGGGGGGAGUUCCCCCUUGCCUUGGGGGGCAAGGCAACCCCUUCCCCCCUUUGGCCGCCGCCCCCCCCAACCCUAGAUGGGUUUUGGCCGGCUCCCCCCUCCCAAGGGGUCCUAUAAAUAGUGGGGGAAGGGAGGGCAGCAAACACACAGCUUUUGGCGCCUCCCUCCUCCCCUGCAACACCUCUCUCUCGCGCGCAGAAGCUCGGCGAAGCCCUGCCAGAGAGCCGCUACAUCCACCACCACGCCGUCGUGCUGUUGGAUCUCCAUCAACCUCUCCUCCCCCCUUGCUGGAUCAAGAAAGGAGGAGACGUCGCUGCACCGUACGUGUGUUGAACGCGGAGGUGCCGUCCGUUCGGCACUCGGUCAUCGGUGAUUUGGAUCACGGCGAGUACGACUCCGUCAUCCACGUUCAUUGGAACGCUUCCGCUCGCGAUCUACAAGGGUAUGUAGAUCCACUCCUUUCCCCUCGUUGCUAGUAGACUCCAUAGAUGCAUCUUGGUGAGCGUAGGAAAAUUUUAAAUUAUGCUACGAUUCCCAACAGAAAGAGGGGAUGCCUUCCGGGGCAUCCCCAAGGUUAGUUUCUUGGGAGUCCUUGAAUAUUAUCUUGGGGUGCCUCGGGCAUCCCCAAGCUUAGGCUCUUGCCACUCCUUAUUCCUUCAUCCAUCGUGAUCUCACCCAAAUCUUGAAAACUUCAAUCACACAAAACUUAACAAAACACUCGUGAGAUCCGUUAGUAUAAUAAAGCAAAUCACCACUUCAAGUACUGUUGCAAACCCACUCAUAUUUUAUUUUUGCAUUGUAGCUACUGUUAUAACUUCUCUAUGGCUUAUACCACCAAUACAAUCGGUAAUUUCAUCAAAACAAGCAAAACAAUGCAUCAAAAACAGAAUAUGUCUUAAACAGGGCAGUCUGUAGCAAUAUGAACAUCUACCGUACUUAUGUAACUCCAAAAAUUCUGAAAACUUAUGAAAAAAUAAAAAAUUUGCAUAGCAGUAUUGUGUAAAAAUUUCAGAAACAUUCGACGUUCCAGUAAAAAAAUUGAAAAUUCACGCCCUACAGCUAAAGUUUCUGUUUUUACACUGCACAAACCAAACAAUCAAUCUAAUCAUCCUAAAGGCAAAUCUUGGCACAUUAUUUUUAUAAUACAAUGGAUUUGUAAAAGGGGUUAAUUAUUUUUGUUUAAAAGUUUCUGUAAUCCAGGUUCACAAAGUUUUCAUGGGCAUGAACAAAGUUCAAGGCUAGCUCCCACUUUAACAAUGCUCGUCUUUCUCACUUUCGCUUUUCUUUUUGAAAGUUUUAGGCCCUCCUCUAUAUUUUGUUUGUUUUUAAACUAUUUAAAAGCACACAAUGGAAUAAAACGACUCUCUAAUUUCUGGGUUGUCUCCAUAGCAGUGCUUUCUUUAAAGCCAUUAAGCUAGGCAUAAAGUGCUCGGGUAAUUGAUCCACCCGGAUCCCAAGGUGUAUCAAAGCCAAUUUUAAUUAACAAUGAUUUGUAAUUUAGUAGUGAGCACAAAGUAAUAUAUAUCAUGCAACAACAAAGUCUAACUCUCUUCCUAUGCAUCGGCAUGUCAUAAAAGAACAAUUCAUGCACAUCAAGUAAAUGCCAAUACAUAGCAUAAACAGUUUCUUGCAAUAUUAUCGUAUUGAAAACAUGGAGAGGAGGAGAUGUAGUUCCUCUCUCAUAAUAAUUGCAAGUAGGAGCAGAAAGCACAUGCAUAUUAUAUUCAUCAAAAUCAUCAUGUGUAGUGGCAAAACGCAACCCAUCAAUAUAAUCCUUAAUGAGCACAAACUUCUCCGGUAUAGUGUAGUUGGGAGAAUUCAAAAAGAUAAUAGGACUAUAAUGCGUGGGUGCAAUAGCAACAAUUUCAUUCUUAACAUAAGGAACUAUAGCAAGUUCAUUUCCAUAAUAUUUGAAUUUGGUUAAAGCCCAGUGAAAUUGGAAUCUGAAAAUGUGAAAAAAUUCAGAAAUUAUAAAGUAAUUGCCAAUUUGUCAUCUGUUUUUUAUAUUUACAGCCCAUUUCAUAUUACUUUCAAGAUUUGCAGGCGUCUUGCAAGAGUUGCAGCCCAUCAGGGCGUAGAAAAAUAAGUAGGCCUGCAUUGGGUAUUCUUCAGAAAAAAUAAACUGGGCUCAUUUUCACAAACAAAAAAUAGCUGGGCUGGUCAUGUGGUGAACAUUAAAUAUAAGUCUGGGCUAGACGGGCCAUAGCCCAGUUGAAACCCUGCUCCGUCUCAACAAUAAAAAAAAAUACUGCUCGAGUAGCUACGGCCCAGGUGUCAGCCGAUCUUGUGAUGUUCUCUUGUCUAUUGACUAUAUACGCUGACAAUGUCGUGGGUCCCAGAUGUCAGGAAACCACUAGCAGGAAGCAUUUUCUUUUUUCCAUACGCCGACAAUGGAGUAUAUAUAUAUAAAUGAGGAACUUCCUUGCGUCCGGCCAUGGACAUGGUGGGCCCCUACUGUCAUCCUCUCCACGUACAGUCCUCUGCCGAUUCCUCUUGUUUGUUGACCAUGUUGACAACGCGAGAGGGCGGCGCCGCGGCAAGCACAGCAAAGCGCACGGAGGACGACGGCGAGGCCUCGGAGGUCGGCGUUAAUGAUUUAGGAGACGGUGGGGCGGCGAUGCGUGCGCUGAGGCGCAGCCAGCCGUGGGAGGCGGAAGCAGGCGGCCCCGCCGGCGCUGGUUUGGUUUUGGCGGCUGGAGGAAGACAGGACUGAAGAAACAUGAUAGACUAUAAAAGCAGCAGGAGUACUUAACAACCUUAACUGAAACCAGCAGGGGCACUUAACAACCAUAGCUGAAAGCAGUAUGAGUACUUAUACAGGUUCAACCGUACAAAGCACGCCUCGAACAGUGCUACUUUGCCUACAGUUAACCAAAGGGUGAGGCCGCCAUGCCCUAGGCGCCACCCCGCGCAUCACAACCUUCUGAAAGCGGCUUCAUCUCGCAAUGUGGUCAAUAAACAGGAUAUUCGAUUUAGAGCCAUGGAAAAGUAGGAACAUAAUCUUCUGUCCUAUUCUCCAAGAUGGACGGGCCUUCAUUAUUUGAGACCACCCAUGAAUAAGUAUCUUUUCACCUCCAAGGGGAAUGGAGUAGGUCGACAUAAACAUCAUAUUGUGACCAAGCGCAAGUCUGACCCGACCAUGGUCAGGCAUCUGUAUAGGAACAAUAGACCCGGGCAGUUCCUGUUUCAAGAAGAUCACAGCUGUAAAACUAUGCAUAAGCAAGAGUUUAUGAACAACAUAUAUAUAACAGAAAACAGCUCGUACCAUAAGUUUCUCAACACAGUUGGACCUGUUCAAUGAGUGCAGCAGUGGCACACAUAUCCCACAUGGCCUUCCACCAUUGAAACACCCCACAAGGACCUCAAGACGAUCAAUUAAGUGUAGGAACUUGUGGAUGUCGUCCAAGUCAACUUCAGUGCCAUGAGUAACAGCCGAGUUCUUAUAGAAUAACAAACGAGUAGCCUGCUUAACUCUGAAAAAACCUACGCGUGCUACCAAUUAUAAGAAAAUAUUAGUUAGAAGUAACAUCUUCGUGAGAGAUUCGUUGCUACUUCUAAAGUUAAAUUGUGAUUAGUUAGACAUAAUAGGUGGAUUAAGAAGUAAUCGAGGCAAGAAGCAAGAACCAGAUACAAAACUAACAUGGAUGAACAAUUGGAACAACGUCGGGGUGGAAGAUCGCAGUGAAGAUGAGACCAGGUUCUGCUAUUUCCAUCAACAUUCGUGCGCCAACUUUCAGUCCGUAACACUUGCGAAAGUUUAUCCAAGUUUGGCCAUAAAAAAGCAGCGAUCUUCUUGGUACAUGAACCCAACUCGAAACUUAUAUCCAUGGCUUGUCUUCACUGUGACCAUUAAACUGGUGUAUUCAGUUAUGGCAAGGCCGAGCAUCUUGAGUACAUGUGUUAUGGCAGAGCAAGGAAUGCACUGCAGGAAAAUAAUAUGAGAACACAAUGUAUUCCCUAUAUCCAAAUCUAGAAAUAAUUUCCUCCUUCACGUCAGUGUUGACCAUGGUACCUUUUAUCCAAAUAUAGCAAUCCAAAUUUCCAAAUUAGUCGACAACAUGUUCAAAAAUCCCCACCCUCCAGGAUAGAAAAGAGGAUUCUAGGAACAUACUGUGCGCAUUUUAAAAUCCCAUGUUAGGAUGAGAAGGAACAAGUGUGGCGUCUCGCCGAGGGCGCAGAAACCUGUAGGGUCCUCGCACUUUGGGCACUGCAAAUGAAACACACUAGAUUCAGUAGGAAGAAAAAUGCAUCAACGGCGGCGACUGCCAUCCUAGGAGUACCCGCGAGCAAGGGACUUGGAUUUAUCGGGGAUGGAUGAAGAAUUCGUACCAGGUUCUCCAUGAGAAAACCCUAUGCAAUCGCCGAGCGGGGGUUUUCUCCGAACAAGCAGACGAGGGAGAAGGGGAUUCAGGCCCAGUGAAAUAUUGCCGCUUUGUCCGUCCAGCUUACUGCUAAAGCUGGAAAGGUGGGGUUUUUUGGGAUUUGACGGCUCAUUGGGCAUUACUGCGGCGCUACGACCGGGGUGUGUCUACCGUGCAGUUGUGCACUCUAAUUUGGUGCAUAUGGCACGUGGACCCCAUUGCCGGAUGCCCCACAUAUUAGCGAAAGGAAGUAGAAAGACAAGAGUAACUAGUUACACAUAAAUAUAUUUUUGACAGAGAGAUACUCCCUCUGUAAAGAAAUACAAAGAUCUUUUAUAUCACAACUUUAUACAUAAGAAAAAUCAAGGGGAAUAUAUAUAACAUAUAUAUUUAUAAAAAACAGAGUUUUUUUUAACACGGUAUAGACGAGUUGGUGAUGAUGGUGUGCCUACCAUCCUGCAAUAUAGGCCGUCCAAUUUAUAUCUGGCGGAUAGGAAGGAAACUAUGGAAUUUUGCAAAAAGGUACCCAUACACCUCUCCACAUUUGCAAAUAAGGCCUUCCCUCGUUCAUCCUUUUCUCUCACAAGAUAAAAUACUCAUACAAAUGCAUCUUGAUGUUACGUGCAACGCAUGGGCAUUAUGGGGGUUCAGCUGAGAAAUACUCAGACAUGCUCACGGUUUUGGACUUUGGGCCACAGGCCAGUGGGCCUGCAUGUUUGGGGGCCCAUGUGUUCUACCUCAGCGCUUUUCAUAUUGCAAGCGGUCGGUACGGCGCUGGUUUUAGAUGCUGUCGCAAGGCGAAUACACAAAAUUGAAUAACGCACGGCAGCUGUUGGAAUGAAAUCAAAUGACAGUUCCUAACAAGCAAUCAGAGUUGCAAUUCUAUCAACGAUACUGUCGUACUACUUAUACACACAGGACACUUGUUUCACCAUGCCAGAGUAUUACAUCAAAAUCUCUUGGAGGAUAGAUCAGUUCGGCAGUUGCGUGCUGCUACUGAAGAAUUUCAAAGUUGAUUUGGACCAGCUCUCCUUGUCGAGAAAGUUCGAUUUUGACAUCAUCCCCUACCGCAAGAUAUGAUUUAGAUUUGAACCUUGACCAUCCUUUAGCAUCAAUCAUCAUGUGACCAUCCUUUGUACUUACGGUAUAUUGAGCAGGUUCAUUCACACCAAGGCUGCGCAUGGUAAGAGAAACUUGGCCACGGUUACCCGGAUUGUUGAACGACUCCCUCGUUGCUCUAGAAAUUCUCUGUUUGCAAACAAGAAGACAUACACAAACAGUUAGAUCAACAUAGUGAAUCAUGUGAAACAACAUGGAAAGAAAAAAGAACAAAGCACUUGGGCGGCCAAUGCUUACCAAGAAGGUGCACAUGUCGGUUUUUGUAAGGACUUCGGUAUAUGAAGUGCGAACUGCAGCCCAGUCUGUUGCCGGUGCAACUGCUGGUUCCGUUGCCGCUGCACGGGCCAGAGCAGAUGCAAGUGCAAGUGUUGGUGCAGGUGCCUAAGCCAUUGCUGGUGCCCGUGCUGGUGCGACUGGUAGUGCCGCUGCUGCUACCGGAGAUGGUGUUCCUUGUAGAUCUGGUGCCGGUGUCGGAGCAGGUGCCGGUGUCGAUGCCCGAUCCUCCGGUAGAUCAGCCUGAUCUGCUGACGCGGUCGGUGCCCAAUCCUCAGCUAGAUCAGACUGAGCUGUUACCGCUGUCAGUGCAAGAGCAACUGCCGGUGCUCGAUCCAUUGCUGAAGGUGGUACCGAUGUGCGAGACAGCGGCGAUCGUGUCUGAUCUGCUAUGAUCAGCUUUCUAACUUGACUAGGCUCCGUGACCGUGAUCUAGUCUUUUUCUUCAUUUCUUUUAAACGCGAGAAGGACUAAUUGUGGCGUGUUUGUUAAACCAAACUGUAGUUCAUCAUAGGGAUUCAGCUUGUACUCAGACAACAGACGGAUCCAAUUUUUUCCAGUAAUAUAAGUGAUGGAUAGUGCCUUCGUUACUGACACGACAUAAUAAGUGAAACCUGCAAAAAUAUCCAUCGUAGAGCAAACCAAACAGUUUAUUCUGUGAUGAAUGUCACAUGGCAAAACCUGCAUCGUAAAAUUGCAGCAAAAGAAAGAAAACAUGACAUUAAAUCAAUAACAUCUAGACAAUAAAUCAAUAAGAUUUACUUGAUGUGACACGAGUGAAUCCUUACUAGGAAAUCACUAUGUUGAAGUACUAAACAGAAGAUUGGUCGUCCAACUAUGCGUGGCAUGCAUGGCCCCCGCCUACUCCCACAAGCAGGACAGUCCAAAGGUCAUGGCAAAUCGUAUGGACUGAACAUCCAUGGGACUGGAAAUCCUGGUGGGUGCGAUAAACCCAGCAAUGCAUACAGAUAUUGGAGUGUAACCAUAAUUGAUAAACCGUCCUCACAAAAAAGAUGAUCUGAAUACUUCAAAAUAUACAGACUAAAUUGAGUGGACAGACAUUAACAUAGACUGUUCUCAGGACUCACCACACACCAAAAGCGGCAGUACUAAACAAUACAGGGUUCACAAACACAAAUCAAGUACUGAACAAUAGUACUUACUACAGACAAGCAAAGUUGCACUAAUUAAACUCUGCAGACUAUUUCUUGCCACCGACCUACGGGAUGAACCCUGCAUAACUGACUAGGCCAUGGACUUCGUGAGAGAUGUCUACCGGCACCAUCACCAUCUCCUCAACCUUGGAGAACCUAACAGAGUGGUCUUUCCACUCAUAAACAUGACGAUGAAGACAUGCCGCAUCAGAUUUGUCGGGAAGCUUUACAAGAACCACACCCUUCGUAAUCGAAGGCACAACCAGGAAAUUGUUGUGGUCAAGUACAGCCUCGAGAACACGCCUGGCAACAAUGCUACAGGAAAACACUAGUUCAGGACACAUGGCAACAAGGACACAGCAGCUUGAUAGUUUAGCAGUAGAACUCAUCCUCAGGUCUUCCAGUUCACACGACAUGACUUUGAGAACUUCAUCUCCACCGCGGACCUGGUUCUAAUUCAAACAGAAACCAAAUAUUUUAUUACUACCUCCAUUCAGAAAUAUAAGAUGAUUCUCAAUAUUUUACUCCAUAUAUGACUACAUAUACGCACAGAAAUGAGUGAACAAAGACACUAGAACAUGUCUUCAAAGGCAUGAGAGCAGAGGGAUUACUUGCAAUAUCCAUAACACAAGUGACUGAUGCAAAUAUACCCUGUUCAAAGGUAGCAUUGAUGUUCAUAAGACUACCCAUAAUGGAAGUAACAUAGAUAGUAACAUCACACAUAUCUAGAUAGAAUAGAUGAUGUGGCAAGCAAUAAAUGAAGAAAGAGAGGCAUGUGGUAACAUAGCUAGUUACUACUAGUAUGAGUAACAUCACACAUAUCAAGGCAAGAUGAGUCUAUAGCCUAAUAAAUGAAGUGUUGCAUGUUACCACACAUAUGUUACUCCCCACUAUAGAGGUAGUAACAUAGAGUAGUAACAUGGGCAUGUUACUACUCUAUGUUACUACCCAUUGUGGCUAGUCUAAAGUAGUUGAAAGUAGUCUAUAAGAAAUCAGUGUCAACCUCUCGCAUGUUUUGGUCAAAAGAGGAAUUUAGAACCGCCAUUUGGCACACAAAAAUCACAUGCAAAAUCACCCAGAAAGUGGUACUACUAGUACUAGUACUGCGUGUUAGAUGAAAAAACACGAUCAAGAUCGAGAAAAAGAUCGUCAAGAAGAGAUAUUACAUGGACUUGCUUAAUGAGGGAUCCCGGAGAGGGGGGCUUGGAUAGGGCGAUGGCUUUGAGCGUGUCUGCGGUAGUCUCGGCGGGGUGCUUGCGCUUCUUCGUACCAUGAGCCUCGACGGUUUUUGCUAGAGCCAUAGACAUCACUUCGGCCGGUGCUCCAGCGUCCAUCAAGAAACUGUCAAAUAGAAAUAAAAGAAAAGAAACCAUAAUCACAAACCCAAAAGAAGAACAGAGAGGGAGUUAUAGGAUCAGUCUCGGGGUUGCAAGACCGGGCCUUGGCCAGAAUCAACACCAUUGAUGCGCUCACCUUUCCUUCUUUGGGAGAGAAGAACAAUGGCAGAAGCAGGUCGGGGUUUUCUUGAAGAAAUGAGGAACAAGAUGAGGGAGAAGCGAGGGUUGGGUAGAGAGGAAGCUGAGGGAGAAGGGUGAAAUGAUGGUUGCUUCGUCCGUCCAACUUACUGCUGGAAAGGCGGGGUUUUUGUGAUUUGACAGCUCAUUGGGCAUUACUGCGAUGCUUCGAUCGGGGAAGUCUACCGUGUAGUUGGGCACUCUACUAUGGAGUAAUUUAGUGCAUGGCUAGUGGACCCUGAUGAUGGCUGUCCCACACGUCGGCAAAAGUGAGUAGCAAAGUUCCCGACGACCGUCGAGGAGGAUGCGCAUGGUAGAGCGAGUCCACUAUUUUUUCUGAAGAAAAAAUGAUUACAUCAAGCGUUUCCACUCUUACGAUGGAGGAGUGCGAAACACGGUAGCCACUUGAACAUACACAGUGCUCCUACUACUAGGCAUGUGCAGUGGUUCAUACGUCAGUACUACAUAAUCUUGUUGCUAGUGUAGGAGUAAGAUAUGACGAUAACAAAUGAUGUUGUGCGCAUGUCAAGUAUGAACAGUAAUGUAACUAUAUUGAGAUGAGAAUGCAACCAAACACACCCACACGCUUUGUGCUACAGUGACUGAUCUGCACCGUCUGAUUUUGAUCCAACGGUCAUGUUGCACCGAGACAUGGACAUGCCCAUGCAGAGGACGCCUAAACACCACCGAAGUCCCUCUGCUUCUCGAGGCACACGACGUUGGUGAUGCAGGGUGCAACGACCCGCAGAGCCCGCUCCCGGUCGACGGGAGCCAGCUCGUCGAAGAUGGCGUCCAAUGGCACAAAUGGAUUCCGGUGACGGAGCCCUGAGAGGAUUUGCCCGGCAACAGCGACGGCAGCCCGCAACCCCUCCUUGUCCAGCUCCGCCCCCACCAUCGCGCGGAGACGGAUCAGCUCCUCGGAGAUAUAGGUGAAGAAGGAGACCAGGUCAGGAAGCCGCAGCUCGUUGAAGUCGACGGGGUGGUCGAACGGGUUUAGCCCGACGGCCGGCAUGGUCGCGCUGGCACAACGGUAGGCAUCGCGUAGCCGCAACACGUGCAUGGCAACUUGGUCCACCAAGUGGCUGAGGUGAUCCUGGACCUCGUCACGAUCGGCCCGCUGGCGCUCCAGCCGCCUCCCCUGAUGGCCUAUCGUAUCUCCCGCUUUCUGCAGCAACACCGCCGACGCCUCGAGCAUCUUUGUGGUGGACGCCUGCCGCUUUUGAAGCUCCGUGAACUCCCGCACAUAACGGAGGAGCAUGGCACUCCUCUCCUCCUUGAGCUCACGGAGCUCCACGUCCUUGGCCCUGAGCUCCGCAUCCUUGGCCUUGAGCUCCUGUGUCAGGCACCUCACCUCAGACUCCGUGAUCUGCUGCGCCGCCAUGGCACCAGGUAGAAGUAAUGGGGAGAGGAAGCAAAGGGGCGAAACGGCUGAAAGGCAAUGCAAUCUACGGGAAGGCGGAGGGAGCCAGCCGAGGAGCGGGGAAUCUUUAGGUUUUCACCAUGGGAAAACAUCAGUCGACGAAUUCCGACAUCAGGGAGCAGUGGGUUUUACAGGCAGAGUCAUCGUGACUAAUUAUUGCCGCGCCUGCUCCCGUCAAUCAAAAAAUUAAAAAUCCUGCCGCGCCUGCCGCACCCAAAGAAUAGAGCAACGCCGCGGUGGAUAUUUAAAUUUACCUGCCGGCAAGGAGAUAAAAAAGGGUGAAAAAACAAAUGUGGCAGCGGCCUAGCUAAUUUGUCGCACUAGCCCAACUAGCUAGCCACCGUGCUUCACUGAUGUACUCGGCGGGAAAGGUGGUCUUUCGUGAUUUGACAACUCAUUUACUUGCUUCGGUGCUACGACCAAGGAGGACCUAGAAAACGCGCGGUAGGGCGUCCCACGUCUCGGCAAGGAAGAAUAUAUGCGUGCACCACCCGGGAGGACCCCGAAACCGCGCGGUAGGGUGUGUCGCGUCUCGGCACGGAGGAAAAAUGUGCGUGUAAAAAUAUACCAGACGCAGUAGUACCUAUGGUUCGACCUCGGGACCCAGCCAGUUGGUCGAAAACACCCCACUAGCCACAUAGCUUCAUCAUGCUAACGUGGCACUGAGGAUAGGUGUGGUUAGCUCCGUCUCGACCAGCCACAACGUCUCUUGUUCUAGGCGAUUCUUCUAUUUUCCAAGCUUUUUUAGUUAUAAUAACACCACGGCAAGCUAGCGCCGCUCUUCGUGUGUGCCUGUGUGUCUAAAGGUUAGACGAUGGAGAGGAGAGAGAGAUCGCAGACCUGGGGCCCACCAGUAAGUGAGUCAACGGUCAUGCAUGUGUUGACGAGGCACUCCCUCUACUCUACUCAACGUAAUACUGUAUAAAAUAAAGUUAUGGGACAAAUCCAACAACCGUUGUUGUUUCAGGCUAUUGACUUAUGCUUUGUAGUCCAGGUUGCCAGUUCGAAUGUCGUCUUUCAGAUUUGUUAGUUUUAGGUCCAAAUUUGAACAAUGACAAGUGGGACCCCCGUGUGUUGUUCCGAUAUUUCAGUGUAGGAUGGCUUUUUUGAACAAACACUUUGCGCGGUUAGAAUAUCACAUCCACCCCGCAGCUUAGACAACAGCAUAGGAUAUCACAUCCACCCCGCAGCUUAGAUGCUAUGGUGAUACGACUCAUACGAGUUUUUACAUCGUUGGAAGUGAGAUCCAAUGGCUUGGGAGUAGUCUUUGUAAUUAUGCGCAAUUUCAAACUCUCCAAAGGUUUUGUUGCAAAUAAAACAUUCAGGCCUCGUGUGUGCCGCUACAUCUUGGAUCCAACGGCUCCCCAUUGCUCAUAUUAGGUGCUCCCCGUAGCUUAAUUAGCCGCUACGGUGAUACGAGCAUCUAGGUCAUAUGAUCUGUGAUCAGAUGGCACAUGCAUAGUACUUGUACUUUCUGCGCAAUUCCCAAACUCUCUCAAUCGUAUAUUGCAAAAACAUUCAAACCUCCUACCGUGGGCCGUUAGAUCUCCGUGAACUCGUAUCACCAUAGAAUCUACGGUGCGGGAGCACCUCAUAUUCACCCGUGCGAGAAAACAUCAGGUGCUCUCGCAGCUUGGAUGCUACGGUGAUACGAGCUUCGAGGUUGUUUGAUCUGAGAUCCAAUGGCAUCUGAGCAGUCUUUGUGCUUGUAAGCAGUGGCCGGACUCUUUGGGGGCUUUUCUGCAAAAAACCAUUCGAACCACCGAGGAGUUGUUGGGUCACAAAUCCAACGGCUCCGAAGAGCUUGCAUCACCAAAGCAUCUAAGGUGUGGUAGCACAAGAUAUUCUUACAUACAGGAGAAUAUGAUGUCCUCCUUCAUCUUAGAUGCUAUGGUGAUACGAGCUUCGAGGUCAUUGGAUAUGGGAUCCAAGGGCAUCUGAGUAGUUUUUGUACAAAUUGUGUGCAAUUCUCAAACUCAUUAAGGUUUCCUGUAAGAAUAUUAAGACAUCACGUGAGCUGCUAUAUCUCAGAUCUACAGGCUCCAAGCAACUCGUAUCAGCAUAUAACAUCUAAGGUGUGGGGGCAGACGAUAUUAUCUCGGGGAGGAGGGGGGUGCACAACCAAUCGGAGUUUGGGAGCUAGGAUGGGGACAAAUAUAAUCUAAACAAUCCUAAACAGAGCUUCACAAAUUUAUCUAAGGUCGAGGGGUUAACCCCCGACAAUCUACAUAGCUUCGCCUAAACACAACAUUUGCAUGUACUGUAGUACUAGACUUAAUAUUCAUGUGUCAGUUUCAUGUUCAUUUUAAAUAUUGAAUUGAGGACCAUGCAUGUCUUACAUUUUACUCCCUUCGUUCCUAAAUAUUAGUCUUUUUAGAGAUUUCAAAUGGACUGGCACAUACGGAUGUAUAUAGACAUAUUUUAGAGUGUAGAUUCACUCAUUUUGCUCCGUAUGUUGUCACUUGUUGAAAUCUCCAAAAGACUAAUAUUUAGGAAUAGAAGGAGUAUUUUUGAAUUCGUGUCAUACAUGCAUGGUUUGGAAAAAUAGAUGCACUAUACUUAUUGGAUUGUUGUUGUGUUCGUGUGUGUGUGUGUGUGGGCAUAUGCUUGAUACAUACAAAGUUUUCUCACCACCAUAUUGUUCAUCUUUUAAAUUUGAAUUUGCAAUGAAAAACUUACUAGGGAUACCAUGAAAUGUGAAAUCCACGUUGAGAUCACUAUAUCACAAACUCACUCUAAUUCAAGAACUCGUCAUGGAUGGCCGCCGUCGACCGCUUCCUUGCACCAACGCCUAUCCCCGCGCGGGUGCCAGUGCCCCCCACAGCGGCAUGGAUGGCCGCCGUCGACCGCUUCCUUGCACCAACGCCAGUCGCCUCCUCCCACCAGUUGACUCGCUCCUGGAGACCGAAGUCCAGAACAUUGUGGCCUUCCUUGAAGCUAGGGCCAACGUCCAGGAGUAUGCCAACAACGGCGCAAGACGCCGCCGUCGCCGUCGGUUAGUGGCCCGACGACACACAACACGGCAGAGGAGCCCCUUCCCACCGCAAGACGCCCCCGCCGCCGCCGCGUAAUCUAAAUUUGCCAUGAAAAACGUUUGGAUUGCCAUGCUUAAAAUCCGAACGUUUAUCAUUUCCGUUUAUUUUAGAUCGAUCGUCGUAUGAAUGUAAAGUCGGAGUCGGACUGAAUGAAAUCUAUGGUUAGAUCGAUUGAAUGUUCUGCUAGAGCCAUAUCAAAUUAAAUAUAAAACGUCAUCAAGCCACAUGUAUUCCUUCUCAUCCAACGACUUAGACUGCUUCAAUAUCGAGCGCUCAACACGUUUAGCGUGCAGUUAAUUUCAUGCCAAAAAUAGUGCUAAUCACAUAAUAACACGCAAAUAAUAUCCUACUUAAUAUCCGCAUGCACUUAAUAUACUUCCAAAUUAACGUGCAUUGCACGUACACAUUAAUUAGUACUACUAAUACGUGAAACUGGUGCCGUAACUUGUGAACGCGUCCAGAUAUGGUCAACGGCAACAUGACCCGCGAGUUGUUCGUGUUUGCCCGUGCGUCUAAACGCAGAAGGGGAGGUGAGAGACAGAAAGCACACAUGGAACCCACCAGUAAGUGAAGGCGAAUAGUACGUGCUAACGAGUCGGUCACACUAAUGUACUAAAAAUAAUGUUACAUGUUAUCCAUUAAAUAGGCUGUGGUAAUAUAAAAACAUUAUAUGAACAAAGGGGGUACAACAAACAUUGCUGUUCUACGUAUGUUGCCUAUUGACGUGCGGCUUGAAGGCCAUGGUCGCAUGCUCGAUCCUCGUCGUUUAUUUUUUAAUUUGUAUAUGGGUCCAAAUUUGUUUCAUGACAGGUGAGCCCCUCGGUGUGUAGUUUGUGGCACUUUAAUUUGUGGGUCGAAAUUUGUUCCAUUCCAAGUGGACUAUCGGUGUGUAGUUUUGUAGCUUAUUUGUAAUAAUCAGAGUUUUUUGCAAUAAUACCAUGGUGCGACGUUGAAGGCGAGAAAGGACGUGCGAGAGAGCGAUGACCGAGCUAGAGGGAAAUCAAUUGGGGGAGGUGCGGGGGUUGCAACGGUGUUUGGAGUAGUUGUGGGCCGAAUGCUACGGAAAUAUAAUGUACCAUCGGAAUAAAUGCCUACACAAAUUAAUCCAAGGUUGGAGUCCCCCUCGCAAUGUAAAUAGCUCCGGCUUUGCGAGGGAUGGAGAGGUAGCUUCAAUGUGUGGAAGAUAUGGCGUGAGAAAGCGAGGUCAAUCGAGAGACAUAUAGAUAGAGAGACAAAGUGAGUGUGGUCCGGCAUUCAUUGAAAAGAUAUAUAUGCUCUGGAGAGAUAUUGUCCGAUUGAGCUUUUGGGAAGGGUGAGGGCUGUAAGAUAGAGCUUGAGAGAUGAUCCAGUCACAGACAUGUAGAUAUAUUUUGUGCGUGGGAGGAAGCAAGGUCAAUCAAUUACAUAUAUAAAGGGAGAGAGAUUGGGCGAGUGUGGGUCGUCGUGCGUUCGAAAGAGUGAUACGGGUUGGAGAGAGUGACCUAGAUAGACAAUGUGCGUGAGAGAGUAUACAAUAUGAAUAUGUCAAAUUGGGCUCAAACAUGGAGAUAUAUCGUUUGUGUCCGAGAAAGAUCGAGGUCAAUCGAGACAUACAAAGAGAGACAGAGAGAGAGGGAGGGAGAGAGAGAGAGAUUGAGCGAGCGUGGCCCGCAUGAGGUCGAAAGAGUGGGGGUGGCUUGGAUGGACUGACCUAGAUAGACAAUUUGCGUGAGAGAGUAUAAAGUGUGUCGAUCGAGGCCUGAACAGGGAGAUAUAUCAUUUGUCUAUGAAAGAAAACAAGGUUAAUCAAGACUCAGAUAAAGAGAGCGAGAUUGAGGAGUGUGGCCCGCCAUGCGGAAGAAAGAGUGAAACGGUCUCGAGGGAGUGACCUAGAUAGACAACGUGCGUGCGUGCGCACGAGAGGUUGGGGGCUAGAUAGGCAAUGCAUGUAUCUAGCGAGAGAGGGUGGGAGGGAGAGAGAGAGAGAGCGAGCUCGGCAUGGGGUGCAAUGGCGGGUGUGUGAGGUAAAUACAUUUGGUAAGAGAGUGGAAAAAGGGGGUUGUAUAGUUGAGAGAGUUAGAGAUCGAAACAUGGAGAGAAAGAAUGAAUGUGUGUCGGAAACCGAUAGCUUCCUAAGGUGGUUAGGAGAGGAAGAUUGACCGAUACAGGAAGUAUGUAGCAUGUGUGCCGNNNNNNNNNNNNNNNNNNNNNNNNNNNNNNNNNNNNNNNNNNNNNNNNNNNNNNNNNNNNNNNNNNNNNNNNNNNNNNNNNNNNNNNNNNNNNNNNNNNNNNNNNNNNNNNNNNNNNNNNNNNNNNNNNNNNNNNNNNNNNNNNNNNNNNNNNNNNNNNNNNNNNNNNNNNCUAAAAAGAACAUUUGAAUGUAGAUAGUACUAGACUUAAUAUCGCUGUUUCAAUUCGGUGUACAUUGUAAGAUUUGAACUGAGGACCAUGCAUAUGGGUAAUUAUUUCGAAUUCAUGCCAUACUAGCUUUAGAAAAGUUGACAUUGACUCGAUUGUUGUGCUAUUUUUGUAGGUCAUAUGUUUGAAUCCAUCCAAAAGUUUUCUCACUACCAUGGUGUUCAUCAUAUACAUAUGUAUUUGUAUUAAAAAAGUAGCAUGGAUACAGUGAAAUGCGAAAUUCACGUUAGAAUUGGAGAUUGCUAUGUGACACACACUCUAAUUCAAAUAACUAAUUAUGUGACACACACUCUAAUCCACGUUAGCGUGGAUACCGUGGAUACCGUUUUGUUUUUUUUCAAAUAACUCCUCAUUAAUUAAUUUAUAGUAUCCCGUUUCGAAUAACUAAUUAUUUGCAAGGAAAACACGGGCAUGGUAAUACAUACAGAUUCAUUUGCAAAUGAAAGAAUAUUCGUUUGCAUUCUCAAAUCUCCUCUCAAAUGUAGGCGCACCAGGCAGACCAGGGUCGUGUCGUGGUGGUCGCAUGUGUCGUACGGUGGCUUAGCACCCAGCCACCCACCCGGACGAUGCUUCGGUGCGUUAAGGCACCUACCUUUGUGUCUAUGACAUGUGGGCCCAAUAGGUGGCAGGCCCACAUGUCAUUGAUCCAAAGGCAGGUGCCUUUAAGGCACCGAAGCUGCGUCCCACCCACCCCCUCCCUCCCUCCCCCUUCCCCCCAAAAAAGGACGACGACAAAAUAAGUUUGCGCUUCCACGUUUCGGAUUGAAAUAUCUGGCAGCCCCAAUUCCAGCCCUGCAAAAUCUCCCUUCUCCACCGUCCCCUUCCGCGCCCAGAUUGCUCAAAUCCCCAAUUCGCCGCCAACCCAAGCAAAGUUCGAAUCGCCCCUCGUCUUGUCUCUUUCCCCACCUCUAUGCCGGACGACGACGACGGUCGCGCUUCACCACCGCACCGGAGCUACCUCAUCUACGCCCUCGUCCACCGCACCGGGUGGUCCACCGACAACGUCGGCCGCCGCAUCCGACGUGCCUCACAGACACCGACUUCCACCGCAUCAGGUGCGCUUCACCGAUGCCGUCUCCCACCUCACCGGGGCUACUUCACCAAGCACAUCGUCGCACCUCCGCCCCCCGAGGCCAUUGGGGCUGCACCAACGGUCUCGUCCACCGCAUUGUAGCGCUCCGCUGCCACACAAGAAUGCAUUCGUGCGCGGCCAGCCAACGCCAGCGCAUCACCCUCAACGGCUCUGAAGUGACCCGCACUCUAGCUAGGCGAGCAUGCCCAAACGCCGGCCCGAACUAGGUAUCCACACAUCACUCCCUUGUGCACUGUUCCGACGAUGUUUGGAUAUCCUUUCACUGCUCUCUUAGCUUACACGCCUAUGCAACUCUGACUUUAACUCUUAUUUCUUCUGGAGAUAUCAUCUGAAACAAGCAAAACCAUUUUUUAGCGAAGCAUGACGGCGCUACGGAAUCUGGUACACAUCCUACACACCCGUAUAACCUUGUAAGUAUCUGUCCUCCGGUACAACAGCAAGGUCGAUUCCUCUUAUUUGAUCAACCAUUCGCCGUGUCAAAAAUGUAGAGGGGGAUGCAAGGAGCACAAGGCCUGCACAUCCAAGCAAGUGGUAACAUGGACUUGUACAUGGAGCAUCCCAAGCGCAAGCAGAGCUGCAGUGAGCCUGUACAACGAGCUAGUGUAAGUCCCUGCAUUUCAUUUAAUUCGUACUGGCAUGCGUGUAUGAUUUGUGUGCAGUGGUGGAUCCACGAAUUCAAGUUACCACGGGCGAACAUUUAACUUAAAAAAUGCGAAGGCACUUGCACUCCGGAAAUCAACAUAACUUGAGAAAUGAGAAGCUACAUGCACUUUGAAAACCAGCUAAUGAUCCAAAGUAGUUCAGAUUAUAAAACACUAAAAGAUGCAUGCACCAAAAAACACAAAAUGCAACAUGGUGUACAAGGACUACUAACAUGGUCUGUACCUGCUUGAAUUAUUCGUUCUCUGGCUGAAAAUAUCGAAGUGUAAUUGCACCUAUAACCAGUGCGCAAACGGCAUAUCAAUAUAUCUAUCCUGCACAAGUAUGCUAAUAGUUUCAAACAACAGAUUAGAAAAGUAUUUAUGCUACGUUGUCAUGAUACGGGGACUUUCUGGUAGAUGGCCUCGACGUUUCCUCAAGCCAUGAAAAUGUACUAUAAUUUGCUUGUCAUCAAUGCCUGCAAAUCUCUAUGUCUCUCUCAACAUAGCAGAUCAUCAUUAGACACUAAAUCCUUCAAUGGGAGCUUGCAAAAUGCUUGCAUUAGAUCCCUCAUUAGACACUAUAUGUUCAUCACCAGGAGCAUCUAAAAUGUUUGUCAAAUCCUUCAUUAGUAGUCUGUUCAUUAGACACUUCAGGCUCAAGAACAACAUGAGCUUGUAUGUUUGCACCGGAAACUUGAUUAGAUACAUCAGAUGCAGUUAGUUCAGUAUUGACUGGGGGAGUUAUAAAAUAAGCAGAAAUUGGUUUCAUUUUCUCAUAGAUUCCCUACAUACAAGCAGUUUUACAACCCCGUCAGCUUUAACUAUUGGCCAGAAUUGAACAGUUGAAUUAGACAUAAUCAGGGAUGUGAUGUACCUACUUGUUGCGCAUGCUACUCUUGCAAGCUGCGACUGUCCGUUUGUGCAAGCUCGAUGCCAUGCCCGUGCUGUCGCCGCUGCCUCCCACGCAGGCUACACACAGGGUUGGAUCUUCAUCUUCUUGUCCUUUCGUUCGAUUGAACCCAACGACCGCCCUCCAACGAGGGCGCGAGGAAGUGCUGUGUCGGUCUGUCAGUGGCGGCUAGGUUAGGAGCGAACCAGACUGGAGGCUGGAGCGAACGAAUUGGGUUUUUCCCCGCUGUCGAUUGAUAUGGGAGGCGCUCGUUUGGGCCGCGAGCCUGCUAUAGGGCCUGCCUUGCACUUACGUUAUUGGCCCAUCCAAAUUGAAACAUUUUUCUUUAUUUUUUACAUUGCCUGCUUGUGCGUUGGGCCGAACAAAACUAGCCUCGUCCAACCUGGACGACUCAAACUAGGUGCACACUUUGCAGCCACCCGAGGCAGCCGCCCAUACCAGCCCCUAUGGUGGCGUCGCCCCUUUUUGUGUGUAUGAUUGGGGUAGUGAAAAAUAUUCCAAUGGCGCUUUUGAUUUACCCACAGAAUGGUUGAAUUGUUUGUUUCUAUGAACUGAGUUCGCCAAUAAUGUGAAGGAUGCCAGUCUUUUCAUCCUAUUGUAGAUUGCUUAGAUCUCGAUAUGCCAAAUGUAAUCGCAUGAAAUAUACAGUAAAAGCCAGUGUGAUGUGUGUGGCUACAACUAGUCUGAUUACACGUCCUCAUAUAACAUAUCAAGGACGCACCAUCUUACCGAUUAACCAUUCGACUUACCAAUGCAGUGUGGGAAGAAAGAAGUAUUGGGACUGCGUAUCCAAGCAAUUGAUGCCAUGGACUCCUUCGUAGAACCUUGUAAGCAAAACAGAAGUUGCAGUGUGCAUGUACAAAGAGCUAGCGUAAGUUCAGUUAUCUGCUUCUCGGAAAUUUAGUUAACCACUUAUUGCAAAACUGUUCAAUUACGUUGCUUGGCUUAAUUUAGUUUGCUACUGAUUACAUAAUGCCAUAGCAUGUUAAUCCUAUUAUAGACUGCGCCUAUCUAUGUGUUUGAUACUUACUGUUAAGAAGUACCUGUUUGCCUGAACUUAAAUAGCUACUUAAGCACGUAAAUAGCUGGUCAUAUGUACUUCUAGGGUGCAGCAGAAUUCACGUGUAAUUUACGUUCUGAUACCUUGUUUGUUUAAAUGGUUUGCUGUUAUCACUUGUAGCACUAGUAAUGUUUGCAUGUUCAUAGAUAGACAACUGUCAGGUUUAUAUGAGGGACACCGUCCUUUUAACUUAUAUAUGUGUUGGAAUCAUUUUGCUUACAUCAAAGAAAUUUACAAAUGUCUGUGUUGUUGGUAAACGGUACCGACUUGUUACUUUAAUAUGUUGCCAAAACCAGUUAGUUUUAAUAGUUUGAUGUUAGUUUCUUAUGGCUCUUGCAAAACUUUAUUUAUUGAUUGCUAACAUUCAAGUUUGCAGGAUCCAACUGAAACUCCGUUGGCACAACAGGUAUGUUUUCAGAAACUUCCUUUUUUACCUGGUUUGUUGCUGUAACUUGUUGCUGUAAUCAUCUUUCCAACUUCAAGUUUUCAGGAUCGAAUUGGAAGUCCAAUUGCACAACAGGUACAUUUAAAAAAAUAUAUUUGUGUAACAGGUUUGCUGCUGUAACUUGUUGCUCUAAUCAAGUUACUGACCACUCAACUUUUCAGGAUCCAAGAGAAACUCCAAUGCCACAACAGGUUCCUUUUGCAAAACUUGUUUGUUUAACUGCUUUGCUGCUGCAACCGAUUGCUCUAAUCACGUUACUGGCUACUCAACUUUUCAGGAUCCAAGAGAAACUCCAAUGCCACAACAGUUACCUUUUGCAAAACUUGUUUGUUUAACUGCUUUGCUGCUGCAACAACCGGUUACAAUGAUGUUAAUAACUACUUUUUAGCAUCCAAUUGAAACUCUUUAAUUCCUUGUUUGUUUAACUGGUUUGCUGUUAUAACUCCCAGUUGAGAUGUUUUGCUAACUUCAACUUUUCAGAAUCCAAUCGGAACUUUAAUGGCAAAACAGGUUAGCCCAAGAUCAAAGAGCGAUGUCCCCAUGGACGUUGUAUCAUCCCACAGCAGUGGCACCGGCCCAAUCCUGCAUCAUGAAUUGCCAACUGCUGAUGCUCUAGAGGCUAAACUAGUGGUAGAAAGAGAUUCUGCUUCUGCACUUAGAGUUGAAGUUGACAUGUUGAGGAAGCAAAUAGCACAAUCACAAGCAGUACUCAAGACAACCAUUAAAUAUUUGGUGGAUUUCAAAACGAAGCAAGCUGAGACUGACCGCAUUGUUAAGGUCCUGAAGGAAAAAAGGAAAUUAAAUUCCCACUUGUAAAUCAUAGGUGAAAUGUUCUUUCCAUCGUUGAAUAACCUUUGUGUUGUUUGUUCAUGUAAUCAAUCAAACCAUUUGUUUUAGAGAUCAUGUAAUAAUUGUUUUUUGUUUUUUGGUUUGUAAUUUUAUUUGAGCACAAGUUUGUAUUAAUUGAUAAGACUCGGAGACAUUUCAUUUUGAUUGCUGUGCCAGACCUACAAAUAUGCCAAUCGGGCUGAAUGUGCAUUCAGCAAUAAUAGUAGUAUAGAUGGACCAUAAGUGGCACGCAUCGGAAAGGGCAAAGAUGAUGUAGUAGCUUCGCUAAAAAAGGAUGUUGUUCUAGCAAAAAAAAGUACAGCGGCCUGGCUUAUGUAUGUUAGUUGAUAUUAUUGAUCCAUAUACUCUAUAAGUGUUUAUAUGUCUGUUAGUUAUGUACAUUCUUGGUUGAUUGACUCGGUAUUUGAAUCUUGAUACAUCGCUUGUGUACAUAUCUAAAUGGGAGUACACAUUAUGCUGCGUGUGACAUUUGAGUUGGACAUAAAGUGUUCCAACUAUUCGAAUUCACCUUAAAUUGGAUUCUAGCUUCUGAAUUUGAGUAUCGGCACUUGUAAAUCACAUUCAUAUAUGACAGUGGAAUACAUCUUUGUCGUGCUUUUGAAGAUAUAUAAAAACACAUAGAAUGAUUUAUAAAGAUUCGUAUAGGAAUACAAAAUGGAUUCGAAUUUAGUUGCCAGGGUAAACAUGGAUGCUUAUUGUCCCAAAAUUCAAAAGAAGCGGCAAAAUGUCCACUCCCACGUCGGCUGCCCGCAGCCAAGUGUUUGGGAGAUGGAAAUUACUGUCUACCUAUUACACGGACAAUCCAUCGGCCCGAUUUCCACUCCUUUCGAUAGGGGUAGGUUAGUAAGUUCAAUUAGACGUGACACGACCGCCUUUGAGCCCAUUCUGACACGGUGGACACCAAACAUGGGUGGCAAAACACAUUUGAUUCAAGCUCGUCUGAAAGGCCUAUGUUUCUCCCUCCAUUUCCCCAUUCAUACACGGUGGGCGGCAAAACAAACUCGACUCGGUCGAAAUCGAUGUAGGCAAAUAUUUUCAAUAGGGGCAGGUUUGUAACUUCACUCAGAUGUGACACAACCGCCCUACCUGUCAGCCCCGUUCAUACACCGUGGGCGCCAACCAUGGGCGCCAAAGCACCCUCUCCUCGCCCGAAAUCGCUCUGGGCAAAUAUUGGCGAGAUGCGAGAUUACCGUCCUAUCCCCAACCGACGAGACGUCCAAAUUUUAAACGGGGGCUAAGUUCGUAACUUUCCCAUAUUUCAGACAUGCGCGUCCCAAAACAUGGUUCCCCGUACCCCUCCCUCCAUUUUCCCAUUCAUACAUCGUUCGCGCUAGAACACCAUCGCCACACCAGCCUCCUCCGUCCGCCACCCCAUCCAUCGCCGCCGUCCUCCACCCCAUCCAUCGCCACCGUCCUCCACCAUGUCGGAGCGCCUACCAAGACCACGUCAUCCACUGCUAGAGAUGGACGUUUCUCAUCCAUGGCGACGAACCAAGAGCCUUGCCUCGCGUCCUCUCGCUUCAUCGGCGCCGUCGUCCUCUUUGCCAGGGCCGCUCACACGACCUUCUCUUCCACCGUAACGGGACUUAUCCCCUGAUGCACCCGUCUACCGUCGCAGAUCUGUUUCAGUGCCACCGACAGCCAUCGCACCCCCGAUGCCUACACGGCGCCGCAAGAGAGGUGGUACUUCAUAUCUCCUCAACUUUUCGAUCUCAACCAGAAAAUAGAUCGUAACUUGGUUACUCUACUUUCUUUUUAGCUCUGAGAAUUUAGUUCUUAGUUCGAAGCAAACAAUGGAUGCUAAAUAUCAUUUCUUCGGUUUGAAGCUUUAAAUCUGCCAUGGCACAGUCAUAAUACGGUUUAAUUGAUCAUGCUUAGGGUUUAAUUGAUCAUGUUGGUUUCGUGGUGGUUUCUUUAAUAGAAAUUGGAGGGGAAACCGUCUUUUGCUAAAAAAUGCUUAGGGUUUCCCCCUUUUAUGUUCACUAUACGACCAGAAUACGUGCUUCAUGUCAUAAUAGCACUGCUCCACCCAUCAAGCUAAACAAUCUUAGCUGUUCAAAUACGAAUCUAAUAUUAUUAAAACAGAGUCGUUUAAUUGGUCAGCUAAAUGUUCCUAAUUUAGUUUCUAAAAUGCAUGUUCGCCGCUCGGGUGUGUAUCUCUACAGGGUGCCCACAGUGGGCCAGCCCACCCUGGGAUUUUGGGUCGUCCCAGGCCUCGAUUCCCCUCUAUUCUGCUGCGCGCUUCCGAUCUCUACUUGCCCCUAGCCGCCUGCCUCGCCGGCGACUUGCCGUCCCCGGACGGCAUGACUCUAGGAGGAGAUGCCGGGCUAGCAGGAGGUCAGGAGCCGCUCGCCCUACAGCGUCUCCGCUGCUCGGGCGCGCCGCCGUGCUUACCUUCCCAGUCCGUUCAGGGCUCAAGCGUGUAGCACCCACUACGCCAACCCGAUUUAUCCUGAGAUACGUCCUCAACACUCAUCACUUCAGCAGCCACUCCUCAUCACUCAUUUUCUAAUUGAUUCAUUACUCAUUAGGCAGGACUGUCAUUAGGGUUUGUUGUGUGCUGAGUGCUACCUACACUUAAUGGUUCAGAUGUAUUUCAGUAAUCUUUAGUACCUGUAAAGUUCACAGGGUUUCAAAAUUCCGGCCCUAGGAACAGACACUAGUCAUUUUGGAUUGUUGGUUGUAGUGGCAUUGACCCAGAUUACUACUGCAGGCCAGGUUUGUUGACAAUUUUACUUGUCUUUCUUAAUCAUUCGAUAUGAUAUCCAAUUAUUCACGUCGAUUAGUUGCAAACAGUAAGUGCUAGACAAACUUCUUGAUUCAGAUUUUGGACGGUCUUUUACUGCAGUUACAAUUCUGCAUACUUGUCCUAGUGAGCUCACAAGUAAAGGAUUGAUUCACUACAUCUAUGCUUGCCUUCUCAUAUUUGUUGUCAAUAUUCUUUUAGGGUGGACCACCCUGUUUCAAAAUAUUGGAACCGUAGACAUGAGUGAAUAGUAUUUCUCUAUGUGAUCUCUUCCAUCAUGUGUGGGCAACGAACACUGCAUUGUAUAGAAAGAAAGUGUCAUUUCCAGCUUUUACAUAGGCUACGAUCUUUUACAUGGAAUACAAUCUGCCUACUUGCUUUGUGUCGCACUACCAACACUCCACCCUUGAAGCUAAACAUUAUGCCACUCAUAAUUCCUUGGUUUAUUUGUUCAAAUAUGAAUUUGAUAUGAUUCUAAUGUUCGUACUUCAGUUUUGAAAUGUGUGUCUGCCUGUUACGGAGACAUAAGGGGUUUGUAUUUCUGUGUGUGGUCUGGUCAGCACGGUUGGGGGGUGAACUUUGCAUAUGCAUGGGUUUAUAGGGAGACACUCUUCGAGUUGAAUCCGCAAUGCAUUCCAUAGAUAAUCUGACUACUUUUUAUGUUUUCAUGAAUCUCAGAUUCUGAACAACAUCAUAAUGAUUAUGAGCUUGCACGCAUGAAAAGAAUAAAGCAGAACAAUGCCAUGGCUGUCAAUCUUGGCAUUAAGGGACUGAAAUCAAGUCUGGAUGCUCCACCUACAGAUUCAUGCUCAGAAUAUGGUCCUAACAGUGAUUCUGAGCUGGAGGGAGACCUAAGUCAAUGUAGCUCCCUAGAGGAGGAGUUAGAGGCAGAUGCCCUAUCUUAUUCACCCAUCAAGGUGCUUGCUCUAACUUUCCAUGGUUAUAUUGGUCGCACAUAUCUUGCAACUGAUGCUUUGCAUUGCUUCUACUUUAUUGCACUGCCAUUAGCUUAGUUUACACAUCGUGUAUGUGUAUACGCCCUACCUAUCCAUUUUCAGUACAUAUUCCAUCUGUCAUCAUACCAUAUUUAUACAUUCAAAUGCUGUUCUUGUGUAUCAGAUGUUCAAAAGGAAGAGGGCGAUUGCUGAUCAUGGAGGAGCACAAGCAAAGUAUUUGGAAAAGGUAGUGACACCUGAUAAAUCAAAUAGCCCAUUAGGUGUAGUUGCAAUAUCACCUGACCCGCAAAACACCCCAACUCUAGCAGACUCUAGCCCUACUACACUGGUCAUUUCUGAUGCCCCAACUCAGCAGACCCCAACUGCAGCAAAUAGUAUGAUGAUGCCAGUUGACAUAGCACCAGCUCUACGACGCAAAACCCCCAUUCCAGCAAAGGGUACACUAAAUCCAGUUGCCAAAUCCGUUUUCGAACCAGAGAGAGCCCCAAUUGCAGCAAAUAGGACCCCUGUUCCAU